GCGAACCAGCACGAGUGUAAAUACAUUCUAAACUACCUGGAGUACUCGUCUCGAAGAAACUGCGACAGUACAAUUUUCUAACGGCUCCUAGAGCUAAAUCAGGUAGUUAAAACUGGUGACAGGUCCAAAUCGCAGGUUUUCUCCUAAUUCAAUUUUCAAGUCCAACAUGUAUAAUCUACUUAAUUUAUAAAAUAUGCUCCAAAAUUCAGAUUUCACAAUCUACAUAUAGUCCAUGAAUUUGAGCUAACACAAUUUACCGAAAUCAAGAUCUAUACAUGUCGACCAAUAAGAACUUAGGAGUAAAGCCGAUGUAACCCACCUAAAAUGCUAAUCCUUGGCAACGAAGGACUCCCACUGGUGUAGAGCAACUUGCUGGAUCAAACGCACAGCUCCGAGUCCAGAAAUCGUCCACGCUCGAGCUCUACACGACAAUAAAUCACCGUUUCAGUCCCGAAUUUCAGCAGUGAGGUACAACAGGGAUUCGACCAAGCUAACCUUCACCAAAUCCAGCAAGUAAGGACUUCGUGGAUUCCUCUCGAAGUUCUGAAUCCAAAGAGCCAAGUCUCGUCGCAAUCCGAUGCUCCUACGUCGAGAACGAGCUGAAAUACUAACAGUCGACGGUGGAUUUCAGCAAACAAUAAUUAUCCGAGUUGAAGUAGUAAGAACUUGCCCAAAAAUCCAAGGGAAGGCUGAAUUACUCACCUCGACAGCGACAAGCACCAGCACGACGUCAAGAACAGCGUAGUCGCACGCUCGCCCGGUCUUCUCGCAAAGUCCCGGCGUCAAAUACGUGCUCGAACGAUCCCGCGGCGCGACGUCGGCGACGAAACUCCAAGUAAGCUCCUUCCUUGCUUCCAACCGGGUGGGAGAGUGAGAGAGAUGGAGAGUUGCAGCUAGAAGACCUCUCUCUCUCUCUCUACACGAAGCUAAAUAGAGGGGAGUGAGGGGUGGUACAAACGAGGGAUAAAAUUACACAUUUCGCCCUCUACCUACCAUCUUGUACCGGUACACGGACUCUUGUACCGGUACAAAAGCUAACCCGAGAGCUGCUAAGCCUCUGCGCGAUGGUUGUACCGGUACAGCCACUCUGCUUGUACCGGUACAGCAAGCAGAGAAUGCUGCAGUUUGCAGAAUUCUUCGCAAUAAGCCGCCCUCGCGUCGCACGGAGUCCGUUUUACGUCUAUUUGACGCCAACGCGACUCGGACUUGUCCCGACACUCUCCAGAGCUGUCGACAAGCCUCCACAGACAAACACCAGGGAUCUCACACCUCAUGCAACCUAAGAUCAAGUGUCAAUCCUCCAAUGCUACACAACCUAGGUAACAUGCAAGGAAUGGAAAUGCAAUCAUCUACUAAUCCUAUAGUGCACAAUGUAUCAACAUAUGAGAAUAUGAUCAAAUACAUAGAACUUAGACAUAAAAGGAAAUCCGGUUGCUUCGGGAUGGACACCCCCUACCUUUAGGUGAUGUCACGAUGCUACGAUUCUGGUUUCGUGAAUUUUGGAAGCUUACGCCGCGUGCUGCGGCAAUCUGUACCGAAAUCGGCCUCUUCUUUGAUAUCUUCGCGUACACUCGUCGGAUUGCCGAACCGAGCGCACCAAUGCGUUCGUAUACCUAGCAAUUAGGUUAGAGAGUGAUCAAUUAAGCUCAAAUCCCUUCAUGAGCAAAAGCCCUCUUUUUGGAGCCCUAAAUCCUUAUUAUUGCAAUUAGCCACAUACUAGCAUUUACACUUGCAAUAAAUAAGCUCAACCACAUCUAGAGCUUCAAUAAAUUCCAUUUCUAAGGUAUUUAAACCUAAUCCAAGCGAUUCACCAUGAGAGGGGUUCAAAAACCUACCUCUACUAGCAUUUCCUCCCAAGCUAAGGAAGAAGAUGACAAUGGUGAUCCUCCUUCAAGCUCCAAUCUCUAUCUUCUUCUUCCUCAUGAUCAACUCCAAGAGAGAGAGAGAGCUUCUUAGAGAGAGAGAGAGAGAGGUCUUUUUGCUUGUUUGCAAAUAGGAGAGUGAGAGGAAAUGAGCCCUAAGCCACUCAUAUAACUCCCCUCAUCCAACAAUCACACAAAAACCCCCUCAACCAUGUAAACUGCACCAAACUGGGCCAUUUUCGGGCUCAGGAUUCGGACCUUGAAGCCAGGGUCUGGACCCCGUAGGUCUAGAAUUUCAGCACUUUUAGGACUUAGCCAAAUUUUCAGCAUUUUCAGCUUUCUUCUUCGUUUUCGCUCGUUUUCACUCGUUAGGCCUCCGAUUCAUUUCAAAUCGAACCGAGACUCUCAAAAAAUGUUUUCGAGCGCGUUUACAUCACCUUUUCAUCCCCGCUAAUGCUGGAUUUAGUCCAUGGUCCAACAAGCCGUUCGGGUCCCGUUUUCGCACCUACGCGCUCCGAAAACGCCCGAAUGCUUCCGAACCUCACCAGAAUCAUUUUAAUGACUUCCCAAUCAACAUACCUCAUAACUUCAUAACUUUAGAAGUUCGGUAUGUUACACAUUGAGGUUCUCAUUCCUUACAAUAUUAAUAGUACCAAGUACUUGGUGCUUUCAAGUUUUCUGCCGUUAGAUUUGCCCUUUUGAUCAUUUCCACCUGUUAGAUUAUACUAUUACAACAAUCAACCACUAAACCCUAGGGGACCACUAUAAUUUUAAUCAUACAUCCCUUCAUCCAAGGGCCAAAAACCUAAUAACACUAAGCAUUUAGUACUAUUAAUAGUAUAGUAGCCUAAUUCUACACAUACACACAUAUGUUGGAUUUUAUUGGAUUUUUUUGAUUUAAAACUUGUUAGGCUUCUUGGGCAGCCCAAUAAUUAAUGGGCCUUACUUGGGAGCCCAACUAAAGUUUCCAUAUGUGAGGUUUAGUCCCACAUUGGAAACUAAAAGGGUGUUGUUGGUGUAUAUAUAUAUUCCUUUAUUCUCAAGCUAGUUGCUUGGGAGAAAAUGGAAGUUAUGAUCUCGUUUAAACACACGCACGGCACGAGUCAGGCGGUCCGAGUUGCGGCACGGGCGGUUCAUACACCCGGUUUAUUUUAUUUUAUUUUUAUUUUUUCGUUUUUAUCUAUAUCCUAAUCCUAUCCGUAUAAUCUUAGGCUUAUCUUGUUCUACACGGAUUUGACACGUUGAAGCAAGAUUCUCGCCUUGAUUAUAUAUAUUGAAGGAGGUUGCACGAGUUAAAGAAGAACCCGAGCAUACCUAAACCCUACCUCGCCUCUUCCUACUUUCUCAUCAUUGAUCUUUUCCGCCGAUUUUUGCCAAGUUUUCUUUGCUGGAUCUGAAACUUGUUGGGUUCGUCUUAUGCCACCUUGAAAGCGUGUCAACGAGGUGAAACGUGAUCAUUAUAUCGCUGAAGAAAGUAAUUGCUGGGAAGCCUAGCACAUGGAGGGGCAAUUUCACUUCUAGGACAGUGCUCUAUACGCCUCGACCCACAGGCCUUUUCUAAUCAUUUUCUUUAAAGUAUUUAUUUAUUAUUUAUUUUCUUCUUCAGAUCUUUUCUAAAACUAAAACUAAACUUUCGAAUUGUUUUAAAGAAUAUUUUAAUAAAAAAUCAGAAAGAUUUUCCAACAAUAUAUAUAGUAGGACUACUAUACUCUUAUGAGUGUAGAAGCAUUUGUACUCAUAAGUUGUUUUCGAUGAUGGAGUUUCUGAAUCGACAAUCCAUAUUAUUAAACAUGAUCUAUAGUAUUUGAAACUUUUAGAAAAUAAAUUUCGUAAUUUUUAAAUCAUAAUAAAGUCUAUCAAGUGGGUAUAAAAUGAACAGUCAAAAUCGAAUAAUGUCCUAAAAAUGGAUGAUCGGAUUUCUUAAUUGAAGAUCAGAGUUAUUGCUCUUUAUCCAGAUAGUGGAUAACCGAUUUCAAUUCUUUUACACCGUUAAACUAGCAAGUAUCCAAUACUGGCCGUUAAAAAUUGUCAAAUUUGUGACCUCUUGAUCGUAAAGUAAAUGAUGUCGAAAAAUUAUAAAAUUUGAUUUCUAGAAGUUUUAAAUGAUCUAGAUAAUGUUUAAGUAAACGAUAGGAUGUGGAUUAGAACAGCUCUAUCAUCGAAAACUACUUAUGAGUACGAAGGUGAUCGUACUCAUAAAAAGUAAUAGUAAUCCAGACUCUCUCUCCUCUGCUCUGAAUAUAUAUAUAAUAUAUAUAUUAUAUAUAUAAUUAAUAUAUAUAUAUACUAAUAAUAUAUAUAAUAUAUAUAUAUAAUAGUAGAUAUAUAUAUAUUAUAUAUAAAUAUAUAUAUGAUGCAGUGAGCACGUAUGCUAUCGGAAGCACGGAGCCUUCGUGCUCCAGCUCGUUUCGAUGUUGCGACUUUCCAUAAUCGUCGAUCGACUACCGUUAACUUGUAUCUAAGUAUUUGAGGUAACUAGAAAAUAAAUUUUAUUUAUUUUUGCGAUAUCAAUUUGCCUAUGUGAAGAGGGGCUCACAAAUCAACGGCUGAAAAGUAAAAUCUUAUAAAAUCGUGGAAAGAUAUGACAUUAAAAUUUUAAACAGAAGAUAUUGAUCUUAUUUUAUAUAGUAUAAGAAUUCUUAUCAAUAAUUCACGUGAUUUGUAAUUUCUACACCUAAACUUGCAAACGGCUCACUACGACCCUUUGAAAUUUGUUGAUUUUGAGCCCCUACGAUCAACUAGCAAUAUGCAUAUCCGAAAAUAAUAAAAUUUAUGUUUCUAGGUAUUUCAAAUACUCUAGAUCAAGUUUAAACGGAGCCGUAUCACCGAUUCGAAAGUCCCGCAACAUCGAAACACGAGCUGGAAGCAACGAAGGUCCGUGCUUCCGAUAAGCAUAGGUAGCCUCACUUAUAAUAUUAUAAAUAUAUAUGAGGUCCGGCUACUAUACUAUUAGAGUACGAUCGCUCUCGUACUCAUAACGUUGUUUUUCAGAUAUAGAGCUUCCGAAUCGGAACAAUCCCACACCGUUAAACAUCUAUCUUACAAAUUAUAAAACUUCUAGAAUCAAAUUGUUAUAAUUUUUCGACAUCAUUUACCUUACAGAUCAAGAGGUCACAAAUUUGAACAAUUUUUAACGGACCAGCCGAUAUGGGAUACUUUCUAGUUGAACGGUGUAAAAGAAUCGGAAUUUGUUCUGAUUUUUUGAUAGAAAAUUCAUAUUCCUAAGAUAGAGUAAAUGUCAAAAAUCCGAUCUUGAAAUUGAAGAUCCGAUCAUACUUUUUUUUAGGAUGUCGUUUCGAUUUUGACGUACAUUUAGCUGCCACUUGAUGGACUUUAAUUAUGAAUUUCAAAAAUUUACUGAAAUGUAUUUUCUAAAGUUUCAAAUAACCUCUAUGAUCAUAUUUAAGCGGAGUGACGUCGUUCGUGAAGCUCCAUAAUCGAAACACAACGUUAUGAGUACGAGGAUCCAUAUCAUAAUAGUAUAAAUACCAUGGCCAAUAUAAUAUAUUAUAUAAUAUAUAUAGAUAUAUAGGCGUUGAGGCUAGAUAGUCUAUCGAAUAGUAAACGAGCUCGCGUUCCACGCGCUUUGUUUCUCGAAUGAUAGAGCCUCCAAAUUGACCGAUCGGCCACCGUUGAACAUGAUCUAUACUACUUAAAGUGUUAAAACAAAUUUUAAAUCUUUUCACAAUCAUAUUGUUUUAAUUAUCAAGAGGGUUCAAAAUUUGUAGUUUUAAUGGUCGAUAGAGGCGUUUUCUCGUUUAACGGGCGUAAGAUAUCCAAAUCAAAUUGAAUUUUUGUUAGAAAUUUUUUACCAUUUGUAAAGACAGUAUCUAUACUCUUUUGAUCUUGAUUACAAGACUCUUAAUCAUUGUAUUUUUAAAGAUAUUCAUUUUCAGGCCGUUCAUCACUUUUGUGUCUACUCGAUGGAUAAAGAGAACAAUAUCGAAAUAUAAUAAAUUUGAUUUCUUAAAAUACUUCAAGUGAUAUAGAAUCAUAGUCAACGUAACCGAAUUCGUCGAUUUUGGAAGGCUCAUCAAUCGAAUACAAUGGGUGGCAACGAGUCCGUUUGCUAUCGAUAGUAUUUUAGUCACUCUCUCUCCUCCCAUCUCUCUCUCUCGUCAUCCUCUCCUGUCUCUCUCUCGAGUUCUCUCUCUCUCUAGUUAUAUUAUAUAUAUAUAGUACGAGAGAGAGAGAGAGAGAGAGAGAGUUGAGCUAUGAUACUUUUACAAGUAUCACCAUCAUGGUGCUAUUAGGUUUUAAGCCAUUGGAUCUACUUUUUGAUUAUUAAUAGCCCUUGGAUUAAUCACUAUUCCACCUACCACCAUCAUCUCAACCUCACAUCUCUCCAUCCAAGGGCUAAAAGCACACAAAUAUCAUCCCCAUGAUACUUUUACAAGUAUUCUAGCCCUACUCUCUCUCUCUCUCUCUCUCUCUCUCUCUAUAUAUAUAUAUAUAUAUAUAUAUAUAUAUAUAUAUAUAUAUAGUAUGUAUGUAUGUAUGUAUAUUCAAGCUAUAUUGAGCCGAAUAUGAGUGAGCUCAUCCCAUCAUGUAUUUAGCUCGUUAAGAUUUCAAACCGAAAAAUUUAGUUCGUAUUCGGCUCGUUUAUUAAACGAGUGAUUGUUCUCGAGCUCAUUUCAAACCAAAUGCUAGCUUGAGCGAGUUGACUCCAGCUCGUGUUCAGCUCUUUAAGAUUUCAAGCUGAAAAAUUUAUCUCGUGUUUGGCUUGUUUAUUAAGCCAUCAAUUGAUCUCGAGGUCAUUUCAAGCUAGAUACGAGCUUGCUCAUAAACAGCGAGCUGGAUUAUUAGCCCUAAGCAGUUGCAUGUAGCGUAUGUUUAAGGAUAUCAGCAUGUCAUCCUAUUCACUUGAUUAUGCAUGUAUCAUAUUACAACAUUAUUUUCUUCCCUUUUGGAGUAUAAUAUUUUUUGCUUUUGAAUUAUUUUUCUUUUCUGCUUGAACAUGUAAUAUAUAAAAAGGACCAAUCCUUGCUUAAUAUAAGUCAUGUCUUAAGCAUUCGAGCUUCAAUGAUAUGGUAUUAGAGUCAAAUUUUUUUCAACAUCAUGUUGGAUUGUUGGUACUAACAUUAAUUCCAAAAGCUUGAUCUAUUAAAAAUAUGUAAUUAAUUCGCUUAAAGUAUAUAUAUCAACACAUCGCCCACGGAUGUGGAAUAUCAAAACUCGACCCAAUAAGCCUCGCGCUACUUCGAACAUAAUUCGGCUUAAUCCAACCUCCCGCUAUUUCGAAUGUGACUUAGCCCAACCAUGCCUUAAAGGGGACAGAAUGCUCGCCCCUUUAAGGUGACACAUUAUAUGUAGUCCAAAGUGGGUCACAAAAACCACCCAAAAUUUUAUUUAAGUAUAUAUUGUUAGGAUUUGGUUAGAUUUGUAGUUGAAUUCUAAUUGGAUUAGGAUUAAUAUUUAAAUUUAUUAGAUAUAAAUUAGGAUUUAAAUAUUAAUUAGAGUAAAAUCUAAUUGGAUUAGGAUUUUGGUAGCUUUUGAUGUAAGCUAUAAAUAUAGCAUAUGUGCUAUGAUUGUGGUAGUGGUGGUACUGAUUAGCCACACCCAUAUGGGAUGGUCAAGGUAGUCAUGAUUUUGGAUGCACCUAAUUAAUGCAUGGGUGGAAGAGGACGUGAGCGGCUUUCGCAGCCCUAGAUCUUGUGCACGGGUGUACAUGAUGAGAGAAAUAUCUUCUGAGACUACAGAAGACGAGAGAAGGGUAUGAGAGAUUCAAGAAGAGGGCUUGGGGUUGUAGCUACUAUGUUAUAGAAGAUGGAUCAUGUAUAAUCUUCUCUUAUUUAAUGAAUCUUAUUUUACCCACAUAAUUUCUGUUUGGUUUUUUUUUUUUUUUUGUGAUUAUAUCAGCUUCUGCUAAGGAGACGGGUUUAUGUUAAAAAUCUAAUUUGACACUUCCGUUGCAGAAUCGUAAUAAUCAGUACCGAAUUCACAGCAGUCGAUAUCGCAGCGAGUUGUGGAUUCUCCGGUACCGGGGUAAGUACCGGAUUCCCAACAUAGGCUCUAGCAGGAAUAAAUGUGUUUAUUUAGGUGCCCAAAGAGCCAUAUAUGUCGAGCCAAAGGGGACUUGCAUUAGGACCCACCGCAUUUUGAAUUUGUAACCUAAUUAGCACCACCUGCAAUACGAGGAAGGAAUAUAUUGGCUAAGGAUAAAUUCAAUGGAUGAUCACUAGCUGUAUAGGGAUAUACAUAACUGGUAGUGACAAUAACUCAAACUACCAACCGUCCCUAAAGCUAGUGGCAAAGGGUUUGGUGGUUGGUACCCGAGACCCAAGUUCGAAUCCUACUUGAUUCACAUUUCUAGCUAAGUUUAUUUCUAAAUGAAAUAAACGAACCGAGUAGUGUGCUGCCUAUCUCUUAAAAGAAAAAAAAAAAGAAGACAAUAAUUCAAACUAAAAAACAAAGAGGGCCUCUAAGAGGUGAGUAUAUGUGGCUUUGAGAAAACGUAAAAAAGUUGCUUAUGUUGCACCCUUUUUUUUAGAAAUAAACUUAUCUGAAAAUGUGAAGUAACUACAUUUUUAAUUUAGAAUCUCGGAUACCAAUCAUUAAGGGCCUAUUUGGAUACACAGUAAAAAAUCUCCACGGAUUUAUAAACUGUGGUUUUGAUCUAGAUAAAGUAGAGAAUCCUACAACUCUAAAAAAUCCACGGAUUCAAUUUUUAAACUAUUUGGAUACGCAUUGUACAAUUUCACGGGAUUUUUCUAAAUUUUAAUAUUAAAAGUUAAAAUUUAAAAUUUAAAAUUUCAAAAAAAAUUUAAAAUUUAAAAUUUGAUAUGUGAAAUGUGAAAUUUUGAAUUUUAAAUUUUAAAUUUUAAAUUUUAAAAUUUAAAUCUAUGUGAAAUUUAAAAUCUAUGUUGAAAUUUAAAAUUUUAUGUUGAAAUUUAAAAGUUAGAACUUGAUGCAUUUUUUUGAAUGAGGGAGCUCAAGAAUGGUGGAAUUUUUUUUUCUUUGGUUAGAGUGGAUUAAACUUUUACUCUAUUUUUUAGAGUAUAGUUUAACUAUACUCCAAAAAUUACGUUACUUUUUUUCCUUCCAAACGCUUCAUAGGAUAUUUUUUCUACCGCUGUAGCAUAGUUUAACUAUGCUACGUUUUCAGGAGUAUUCAAACGGGCCCUAAGCCUUUUGUCAUUUGCCCUAGAGAUGCUUUGGGUUUAUGUUACAUUGCUCACUGCAACAGAAUUAGAUUAUAGGGACACAUAUUUGGGACACUUUUGUGUAAGUGUCUUAUUUAUGUCAAAAUUUUUAAAAAAAUCUACUAAGGCCUAAAUAUAAAGCCCAAUCUAAUAAAAAAUAAAAGGUUACUCUACUCAACCCACCCCACCCAGCCCAUUUGGCUCAAUUACAAACAGAAAAGGAAAAAAAAAAAAAUGAUCACCAUCGCCCCUUCUCCCCUCAUUCAAUCCGCUAAAAUCCUAGACGAAGAGCCCUUCGCUCUCCUCCUCCUUCGCCACCGCAGCCAACGAGGUAAAGUUCCGGCAGUUACUAAAUACUUAAAUAAGUAUUGGUAAAUUAGCAGCACUCUUUUUAGGUUAUACUGACACUCUUAAACUGUCACUAUAUAUCUAGCGACCCCACAUAGAGCAACACUUUUUAAAAAUUUUGGUAAUUUAGCCAGCAAUAUUUUUUUGACCUAUACCAAUAUUUAAAAGUGUCGCUAUACACCGUUGUUGUUGUAGUGAACGUUGAUCUUUGAACUUUUAGGAAAGUUUUACUUUGGCCUUUAUAUAUGAGGUGGAUGGAAAGUUUUUAUUGGAAACUUUUAGGAAAGUUUUUAUGGUUUAAAUAUAUCCAACCCUUGAACUUCUGAAUUGUACCAAUUUAGUCCCUGUUGUUAUCUACAGUUAAGUUUGAUGAUGGAAAGAAUAUUUAUGAGGUGGAUGCAAGCAUAUAUUGGUAUAAAACUUGGCUGCAAUUUACAUUAAUUUUUGCCCACUAAAAUGGCAUCUGGUGAUUAGAAAAAUACAUUUGAAAAAAAAAAUAUUGCGACAACUCAUUCUUCAAGAGGCUAUAAGUUUGGUUAGGAUUGAAUAUAUGAUAUUAAAACAUCCUCUUUGUUUUUUUUUUUUUUUGAGAGAGAGAUAGGUAGCACGCUACCUGCUUCGUUUAUUUCAUUUAGAAAUAAACUUAGCUGGAAAUGUGAAUCAACUAGGAUUCGAACCUGGGUCUCGGGUACCAACCACCAAACUCUUUGCCACUUGCUCUAGAGACGGUUGGUAAAACAUCCUCUUUGUUAGAGUAAGUUUUUCCAGGGAAAUAGCUAGUUGUUAAAUUACAUCAUAUCAGAUCGAGAGGUUCUGAGUUCGAUUUACGCUAGCUAGUUCCAUGUAGCCUCAAUGGUUGAUCACAUUUGGAGGCUAUCUAUUUGGUACACUAAUAUAAGUUUAGAGGGCCAAAAAAACAACAUAAAAGGAAAAAAAAAAUCAAAUAAUAACUUAAUUGGUUAGCUUGUCUGUAAAAUAAUUGCUUAUUUUGCUAUGUAAAGUGAUAGUUAAUUAAGUAUUUAGGCCUAUGUAAAUAAAAAGAUUUGAUUACUCUUGUGACAUAAGGUGAAAAAGCAUUUAUUUGAACCCUAAAAUCAAAAGACCCAAUAUGAAUCUUUGGCCGAUUCUUGCAUAGUGGAAAGUUAUUUGAGACGAUAUCAACAAAUUAAGAACACUUAAUGCUUUUUCGAAGUUUUACAUUGUUAUAUGAUUCGGUCAAUUUAGUGUUAGAGUUUAAAAAAAAUCGUGACUCAACUAAACUGGCUCGAAAAUCUUGUUGAGUUCAGCAAUUUUUAGAAUCAACGCGGAAAAUCCUUCAACGAUUAUAACUUUUCGUUCAAGUAUAUAUCCAUUUUUAGCGUGCAGCCCUAAUUAGGAAAAUAAUUUUUGAGAUCUAUGUGUCGAUUGACAAAAUUGUUUUGAUCUAGUUUGGAACCAAAUUCAACUAUGUAGGCCUCUAUUUUUGCAUAUUUAGGUUAUUUUCACAAAGUUGUGUCUGGUUAUUUGGUUAUUUUAGAUUGAUUUAGGUUUUGAAAAAUAUUAGAGUUAAUUUAUCAUCUUUAUUUACUAUAUGAUUUGGAUAUCGACCAUAUAUAAAUAUAUGUGGCGUUCGCUUAAUGUAAUUAGCCUUUUAGAGUUGAUUAAUAAUAUUUUCGUGUUCGUCAAAAAAUUGCAUUUUUGGUGUAUCUCUCUUUUCAUCCUUACGUUAAUUUCUUCCCUCUCAAUGCGACUUAGGCCUGCCUCAUUAUACUUUUGCAGAAAUUUCUUUUUUUUUUUUUUUUUUUUUGAGAAAAAGAUAGCACGCUACCCGCUUCAUUCAUUCAGGGUAUGAACUUAGCUACAUGGGUGAGGCAACAAGGCCUCUGAAGAGAUGAAAAGCCGGACAAAGACAAAAUACAAGUUCCUCUUUUGGCCAGCAAAUAAAGAUAGUUAUUCCUCAAUACAAGUUCUUAGAAUAGCUCUAGUUCGCACUCUUUUGGCCAGCAAAUAAAGAUGUAUGUUCUUCUUUAGUUAUUCCUCAAUAUUGGAUUAUAAAAUAGAAGGUAUGGAAAGCAUGAAAACGUGCCCUCAUGGUCCAUAGUAAAAAGAUACAAGAUAAGAUACUCUAUAAGAUAGCACAAAUUAAUAUUCUGCGAGAAGAGAUGCAAUGGAACUCCUGAUCACAAUAGGUUAUAAAUUGCACCACGUAUAAGCCCGUAGCAACACCAAUUACAAUAAUAGUAAUCGUCGCAUGCGUUGCUCACUCAUGAGAUAACAAAAGCCAUUAAAUGGAGGGAAUAGUAUAGUAUUUAGAAUUGAUCUGGGUAACUAAUUAACAAUGUACCCAAGAGUUAGUGCCACAUAAAAUUUCCGUAGACGAGAAGUGUGAUCAAAUGCGUACCACAUAAAACUCUCUACUUUUGAAUUAAUUAUAGAAGAAAAAUUUUAUGUUAGAUAAAUUAUCAUCGGAUAACUCCUUUGGACAGCCACACAAGGCCUAGCUAAAAGAGUUUUUAGCAUUGCCAGGGUUAUCUAAAGUGUUUAACGAAUAAUUUAGAGCUUGUUUGGCGUUGUUGUAUGUACUUUAGAGAUAACUGCGACUAAAAACAAAAUUAGAAGCUAUAUAGGCCAAAUUAACAUAUAUAUAAGGCGCGAAUACAGUUUCUACAAAUGAGCUUGUAGAAUACUGGAGCGCUAGCUAAUAACGUAUAAUUUCUUAUUGAACUCAAAAUUCUAAACAAAAUCAUUUUUUCGAGGCUCAAAAAGGUUCGUUUCAGCCCCCUGACACAAUAAAAGCUUUCUAUAUUUUUGUUCGCCAAAUGACAUAAACUUUUGUUGCACCUGUAGUGCUAAAGAAGCUUUUCCAAAUGACAUGUAUAGCCAAGUAAAUGAGCUAUUUGUGUGAUUAACAAAGGAUGCAUGGUUAAGUAAUGGAUGAUUGGUUAUUGGUGGGGCACUUAUUUGGGGUAUAUACAUUAUUUCUUGGUAAUUAUUUUUAGCUCUCUACCUAUAAAUAGGGGUGGCAAUCCAGCUCGCUGUUCGCGAGUCAGCUCAUUUUCGGCUCGAAAUGAGCUCGAGAUCGGCUCGCUCGUUUAGUAAACNAAUUAUUUUAAAUUCUGAAUCUACUAUUUUAUUAUUAAAAUAUAUUUAAUUUUACUAGGAGAUCAUGUGUAUAUAUUUCAACAUUUAAAUAGUUAGUUUUACUAGGAGAUCACGUAUAUAUUUCAACAUUUAGAUUUAUCUAUUUUAACAGUUAUAAUUAAACUAUAUUAUACAAUUUAUAUAAGAAUUAUAUUUUUGUUAAAGUAAAUUGUAUAUCAUAAAUUUGUAUUCAAAAAGCUAUUAAAUAGCAUGAGUUAAAGUUAAAUUUAACAUGUGAAUGAAAAUUAGAAAAAAGUUGAAUUGUAGUAGAGGUGGCAAUCCAGUUUGCUGUUUGCAACCUCGUGUUUGGUUCGAAAUGAACUCGAGAUCGAAUUACUCGUUUAGUAAAUGAGUCGAACAGGAGCUGAGGCCAGCUCGCUCGUGUUCGGCUCGUUUACACCCCUACCUAUAAAUGAGGAAAUGUUUGCCCAUAUUGAUACCUCCAAACAAGUUGCAUGCAUGCUCUCCUCAAACUCCAAUGCAUUGCAGACCAGCAAACAAAGGCCAUGUGCUUUUAGCAAAAGCAAAUUGAGAAAUGUGGUGUUUUUUGGAAGCAUUAAUUGGUGGGUGGGGUUACUGUAGCUAGUUAGACAGGUGGAAGAGAAUGAAGCCAAAAGAAAAAUAGUAGUGGUUGUGUGAUUUUCUACUUCCUGCUUUUUGGUCUGUCCCCCAUUUCUCUAUAUGCUGGAAGAUUGGACUAACCCCAUGCAUACAGCUCAGCUAGCUAGCCAGCUUUCUUUCUUUUAGUAAAAGUGUUACAUAUAUGGAUAGUCCCUCACCUCAUAAUUGAGAGUUAGUAUCAACAUAUACUUUAGUUUCAUUUAAAUAAUUAUAAAAAUAUAUAAACUUAUCUGAACUAUAGAGCAUUUGGAUUUGAGUAUUCAAUCUAUCAAAAUUUUAAUUUUGCUAUCUAAACUUUCAGUUUGUUUGAUUUGAGCCGGUUAACGGCACUUUCACUUCAAACUUAGAAUGCGUCAUUUAUCCUUACAUAUUUAAUUAGUAUAUUUCAUCUUUAUAGGUUUUAGUAAAAAUGUUACAUGGAUAGUCCCUGGCCUCUGAGAGUUAGCAUUAACAUAUACUACUCUAGUUUAAAUAUAUGAAACUUAUCUGAAUUAUAGAGCAUGUGGAUUAGAGGUUCCAAUCUAUCAAAAUUUCAAAAUUUUGAUUUUGCCCUCUAAACUUUCAAUUUGUUUCAUUUGAGUGAGUUAACCAUACUUUCACUUCAAACUUAAAAUGCGUCGUUUAUCUUUACAUAUUUAGUUAGUAUAUUUUAUAUAAUUCUCACAAAUAAAAGUUAAUUAAUUAAAGUAAGCAAUUGGUUUAUAUUUUGGAGUCAAAGUGCUGUUCUUUACUCAAACCAAAUAAAUUUAAAUAUUGAAUAGCAAAACAAAAAUUUUGAAAGGUUGGGUAGCCAAAUUCAAAUGGUCUAUAUAUAAUUCAGUUAAGUUUCACAUAUUUUUAUUUUUAAAUAACAAUAUAGAUAUUUCAUUUUUACAUAUAUUACUCGUUUAAUUUUUUAUCAUAAAAAUGAAUUUAAUACAUUACUUCUAUUUCAUUUGAAUAAUUUAGCUUUUGCAUUUUUUUUAUAUGUUGCUCUUUUAAUUUUUUUACCGUAAAAAAGAAUUUAGCAAUUUCUUAUAGAAUUAUCAUUUUACCCUUGGCAUAAAAUGCCUAAACUUCUUUCAAUUUUAUCCAGGUCCAGCUAUUUCGCAGCAAAAGUUGAGUGUUCUUACCAAUUAGGGACUGAAAAUUAAAGCAGCAUAAAUUAAGGUUUGGGUUUAGAAACUAAAGUAUUUAAAGAAAAAAGGGCUUUUUCUUAUUUACCUCGGAAUACUAUUUAAAAUUUUAAAAUUUACCAACAAAUUAUCAAAAUACCCUUCUAUAUCUCAAAUCCUAUUAGUAAACACUAGAAAUUUGGAAAUAUUUGAAGCAAUUUGUCGAAAUCAAGAAGGACGUUUUGAUCAACCAAAAAUAUAUUAAGAUAUUUUUAAAAUUUUAAACAAUAUAUUUAGAUAUUAUACCUAAAUACAAAGUAUCUAACUAUUAUAUAAUACAGUAUAUAAAAAGCCAAGAGCUCAAGCCUCAUUUUGAAACACACAAAGUAGAUAGAAGCACUAGGCCAGCUAGUCUAAGAAACAUGCUUUUCCCAAUUUGGCAAUUUUAUCAACAUCAGCAAUUCUAAAUGUAUUUUUUCACUUUCCAUAUCUAACAAAUCUAUGGUUUGAAUAAAAAAACUAGAGCUUAGUCACCUCAAAGCCUCAAACAUCUCAAUAUUUACUAAAAUGCCACCAUCGGAUUAUAAUGUAUAGUUUGUAGGCAUUGACAAUUGACAUAUACAAUACUAAUCAUCCUUGAGCACAGUUGAUUGGUAUCCAAGAUUUUGAUGGCUUAAAGGGCCAGCGUCUUGCCCUAUGGCUGGAGGUCAUGUUGGGCUGCGUCAUGUUCAAAAUGACGGAAGGCCAGAUUGGACCGAAUCAUGUUCGAAGAGGCAUGAGACUAGUUGAGCGGAGUUACAAUCAAGACUUAUUUGACGCUGUGUCUGUUUUAAGUGAAUUGAUUGCGUAUUUCUAACAGCUCGGCUUUUAGAGAUUAAUAGUUAACGUCAACGAUCUGACAAUUUUAAGUUCGAAUUCUAAUUGCUUCAUAUUUUCUAUCUUAUUUUAUUUCAAAUGAAACUUGUUUAGUUGGUUACAAACAAUAAUUUUCAGUUUUAAAUUGGACAUGAGUGGAAAUUUGUGAGAAAUAAUAUAAUUAACUUACAAUAUUCCUCUGUGGUACAUGUACAUUCUUAACAAUGUAUAUUAACAUGGUCAAGGACACUUAACAAUAUACAUUACCAUGGCCAAGAACACUAAAUUGUAGUAACACACUAUAUUUAGAUUUUUUUUUUUUGCCUUUCUCACUAAUCAUAAAUUAGCUAUCUUAUUUAUAAGAUAUUAUACUAAUAAUAGAGUCUUCUAUGCAAUCUAUCAAAUCGACUUGUCAACUUGGUCCAUCUGAACCUAUUUGCCAGCCUCUCUCCUUUCAAGUUUAGAUAUCUGAUUCAAAAUGAUUUGUUAGUUAAGGAAAUCAGCAACCGACCCCAGAAGGCUAGGUUGGGUGAUCCAAGUCAGGCCUAAAUUAAGAAGGCAAGAUAAGUUAAUCAAUUAGGUGUAUUUGGUUCAAUUCGGUGUAGCACACUGAACUUUAGUAAAUAGCAAGGUUGCAGUGUUAGAAUAGUGUUUUGAGCUAUUCUUAGUGUUUCUGAAGGUCGUUGACUGAGUACUGACCUAUUCUUCGAGUUUCGAGAACGCGAGAAGGAGUACUUAGCACCAAAAUUUGAUAAUUCAGUUGUUGGGGUGCCGAGUACCGAUACCUGGGUGAGGUACUGGAACCCCUGUGCGUGACCGAGAGAGUCUGUAAGGUACCAAACUUCUAAAGUUAUGAAGUUUCAGUGGAUAUUAAUUUGAAAAGCCAUUAGAAUGAUUCCGGCGAAGUUCGGGAGCAUUCGGGCAUUUUCGUUGCGUGUUGGGCGCGAAAACGGAAUUCGAAAGGAUAUGUUGGACCAUGGACUAAAUCUGGCAUUAGCGUGGGUUAAAAGAGGAUUUAAAUACGCUUAAAAAUAUAUUUUGAGAGUCUCGGUGCGAUUUGAGGCGAAUCGGAGACCCACGGAGCAAAAACGAGCGAAAACGGACCAAAAUUAGCGAAAAUGCUGAAAUUUUGGCCAAGUCUAAAAGUGCAGAAUUUUUGGACCUACGGGGUCCGGUCCCUCAAACCAAGGACCGGUCCCCGUACCCGAAAAUGGCCCAGUUUGGACAGUUUGCAUGGAUAGAAGAGUGGAGGGUUUUUCCAGCAAUUGUGCUGAGUUAGGAUUAAAAGAAAGGCUUGUUUCUCUCUCUUUUCCUCUCAUUUCUUCCAACCCAACCCUAAACACUCCCUUUCUCUCUCUAGGUUAGCUCUCUCUCUCUCUCUCUCAUCAAGGAAGGCUAGAGGAGAGGGAUUUGGAGGAGAAGAAGUUUGAAGAGGGGAUCAUCAUCUUCUCCAUCUUCUUCUUCGCCAUUGGAGCAAGCUUAAGAGGUAAGCUUUGGUAGCUCUAAUGGUAGAUUAGUAGGGUUUAAUUCUUAAACCCUAGAAAUGGUUUUUAUGGAACUCCUAGAUGCCAAAUAGAUGUUUGAUGCUUGAAUCUAAAGGUUAAAUGGUGAUUAUUGCAUUGGAAAGAUUCUAGGGCUCCAAAAUGGGGUUUUGAGAAAUAGUAGGGUUUGAUCUAAAUUAACCCUAUACAAACCUAAUUGCUAGGUAUAUGAACGCGUUGGCGAAGUCGGUUCGGCGGUUCGUCGAGCCUACGCGAAGAAGUCGAAGGAAAGGCCUGUUUUGGUACAGAUUGCCGCAACACGCGGCGUAGGCUCCCAAAAAUCAUAAGAUUGGAUUCGUGGACUCGCAGCAUCACCUAAAGAUGGGGGGUGUCCAUCCCAAAGCAACUGGGCUUCCCUUUAUGUCUAUGCUCUAUAUUGAUUAUAUUCAUAUAUUGAUAUUAUGCAUUAUAGGAUGAGUAGAUGGUUGCAUGCUUUCUUAGUAGUGUGGCAUUGUGGGCUUGACACAUGGACUAGGGAUGCAUGAGGAUUGGGUCUUGUGACAUGGAAUCCUAUAGUGGCAUAAAGUGAUGAACUUAGACUUGUGAUGAUAGAAACAAGUGACAUUGGACUAGUGUAGUUGAGACACUAUAAUAUGAGUGAGUGGCAUGUUAAUUUAGUGUAGCGAGACACUUACAACAAAAUGACAUCACGAGUGGCAAUCAAAUUUAGUGUAGUAGAACACUAUGACAUGAACUUAGGAUAGAUAACGAUCUCCUGAGUAGUAGCAUGUGAACUAGUGCAGCAGAAGCAUUAACUAUCCUCCAGUGAGGGAAUUGGAUUAUACUCACAUAGUGUGUGUAACCUUGGCAUGGUUGCUCCAACCAAGUAGUGAGCUCUGGAGUAGUAGUCGUGUUGGGACAGACGCAGUUGUCCCGCAGACGGGUCUUGGGUGGGUGUAGCGCAGAUUCUCCCCACUAGCGAGAUUUGAGAUGUGAGUUGGCAGUAACCUUCGGGUUAGCCAUGAGUCGGUUGUAACCUUCGGGUUAGCCGAGAUGAGAUUUGAUUAUCGAGGCAUAGUAGCACGACGCACUAUGUAGCAGCUCGUUCAUUUAGAUUAUUUGAGGCAUAGUAUCAUGUUGUAGAUCGCAUACUAUAUAGUAGCUCAUUUAUUAUUUAUUGAGGCAUAGUAUCAUGUUGUAGAUUCAUACUAUGUAGUAGCUCAUUCAAUUGUAUAUUGAGACAUAGUGCAUGUUGUAGAGUACAUCCUUUGUAGUAGCUCAUUCAUUGAUUAUAGAAGCAUAGUAUCAUAAUUAGUAGAAUAUCAUUACUAUGCUCAAGCAUUUCAUGAUUACAGAGGCAUAGUAGCAUGUGUAUAUUCCAUUACUAUGUAGCAGCUCUUUUCAUACCUAUCUAUCUAUCUGUUGCUUAUGCCUGCUUAGAUCUAGUGGGAAGAUCGGCGGAGUCGGCGGCCGAACCCACUGGGAACUAUAUUUAUAUAGUUCUCACUUCACUUUAUUGCAGGGCUUAGCGAGAGUGUACCGGCAGAGGACCGUGGUAAGGGCAUAGCGCCCUAUUUAGCUAGCAGCUUUCAUUUUGCAUUAGAGUACCCUCGUGUACAUGACUAGUAGAGGAUGUAUUUUGGAGAUCGUACUAUGCAUGUGAGAUGGAUAUGUAUCUAAAUGAACUUGUAUUCAUUUCUGGUGAGAUGAAAUAUGUAAUCAAAGUUGUAAAUGUGAAUGAUGAAUGCCACAUGGAUGUAAUAGCUAGAUUAUCUCUCUUUUAUGCACUUGUAUAUUUACUUGUAUCUUGCUCUUGUUGGUAUAGCACUUGUGGUGCUUCAUUGAAUCAUGUAUGUUAAUUGAGUUUAUUCUGGGCAACUCUUGUACAUGAUCUUGUCGUUUUAGCUUUGGGCGUAUAAGGGAGGUGCUGUCUGUCCGGCGUCUGUUCGACGCGCCCGGGCCGAGCCAAAUUGGUAGCGGUCGCGGGGCGUGACAGAGUCGCUCUCGGGUUUGGGCUGAGAGGUGCUGAGUACCGGUACCGAGUUACCGAGUACUGGUAUUGAGGUCAGAUACCGGUACUGUAUCGAGCGGGUACCGGUACGCCGUAAACAGAUCGCUUGACUGGGGCUCGGGUUUGGCAGAUCUGGUUGCCGGGUACCGGUACUCCUCCCCGAGUACCGGUACACAGUGCAGAAACUGCAGUUCGUGCAGUUUGCAAUUUUUGGAGUUUUGAAGGGUCUUGAGGGAAUUGUUACAAUAUAUUUAUAUUACACCCUCUUCCCCACACGCCCUCUCUUGUGCUGAGGCUGAGAAGGGAAAAAUGUAGGGUUUUCCCCUUUCUCUCUCUAGAUUUCUCUCCCAAACCUCCUUUGAUUUGGGAUUUGAUCUUGUUUCUCUUCAUUUCCUCCUUGAAGCUUGCAUCUUGGAGCUUGGGAGGGAGCUUAGAAGUAAAGAGAGGAGCUUCUUGGUGGAUCAAUCUCCAACCCUAGCUCAAGUUAGCUUGAUUUGGAGCUUUCUUGAAGGUUAGUAUUCUUCUUGCAAUAUCUAUUUGUGAGUUUUGAAAGAUUUGUAGAUGAAAAUCUAAUUUUGGAAGAACUAGGGUUUAUUUUUGGGUUUCUUAUUUUGGGGCUUUUGGAGCUUAAUUGAUGAGUGUAGAACUCUCCUUUAGGUUGGAUUUGAAGCUCCAUUGAGUUGAUUUAAGCCUUGGACAAGUUUUACUUGGUUAAAGAAAAUUUUCACUUCUUUUCCUUGUGAUUUUUGGUGAAUUUUGUAUGAUGUUUGUUCGAAUCUUGUAACCCUCUUAGAAAUUCUUUUAGGGUGCUAAAAGCUUGGUGGACAACUUCGUUCGAAGGAACGAAAGGGUUCAAGGAGUAUCUGAUGGGUUUGACCUCACCGAAAUGGGUGAACUCCCUCUAUGUCUUCCUUAUGGUUUGAGACAUAAUUAGAUGCAUAUUCAUGCUCAAUAUGACAGCUAGAAUUUUUGAAAACAUGCUUCAUACAUGUUAUGUGUAGAAAAAUUUAUGCUCUAUGAAGUAGAGGCUUACAAUAUGGACUUAUGCAUGGAAUGACACUUCAUGAUAAUUCCCUUUUAUGUAACCUUAGGCAGCAUGUUAGAUAAUGAAUAAAGGUUCAAUCUUUGGAGUACACAUAGUGUAUGGAUUAGAAAGAGUGGUUAUCUUACAUGAUGAACAAUAUACUUAUUGAAGACAAGAUAAAUGUGACAUUGUGACAUAGUAUAUGUUAAGGUCAAUAUGAAGCUAAGCUUGGUGCCUUUAAUCUAGUUGAACAAUUAGAAUUUGACAUUGUGACAUGGUAUUCGAUUUAGAGAUAUAGUUGUAUUUCAUGUUUUAGCCAUGAGAAAAUGACAGUACAAAGCCUUUAGGGCGAGCCCUAAUAAGGAUAAUUGCAUAUAAUAUUAGUGAAAUGAAUUGCUUGCAUGAUAACACUUCUACUCUAUGUAGUGGGAACUUUGGUAGAAAAGCAUAUGCAUGACAUGCAUUAUGGUUUUUGUGGAUAUUGUUAUAACUCUUUUGCAUAUGGCAUUGGUAACUGUUUCCCUUAACAAUUGUUGGAAUUGCAUGUUUAUGAACCUCUUUGGAGUCUUGAACAAAAUAGUGAACUAUCCUAGAUAGGAUAAUGACAUGUGAACUAUGCAUGCUUUAGGCACAUUAUGUGUUGGUAGUUACAUACCACCCAAGUAAUUUUGAACAAGACAUGACAUGCAUGAUCUAGUAUUCGACCGUAGAGUCGAUGUGUGAAAUUUCAUAUUUUAGACAUGAUGAUUGAGUAUCCAAAUUGUGGAUCCUAUGCUAUUAUCACGCUUGCUUGCCCAUGUGCUCAUUCGCACAUACUUGUGAGGGUCGCUCCCUACCGGCUAACAUUCCGGAGUUAGCCUUGCGACGAUAGAUCGCCCGUGCGGGAUUGGGCGGUGAAGUGGGAUGCCGUGGGGAGUGUAUACUACCACGGGGUCAUUAGGCAUGGCACGAGGCAGGACGUUACCUCGUAUAAGUCUCUCGUAAAUUGGGUAUUGAGACUUAACUUGACAUUGUACAUCACCGUGGUUGAUGCAUAUAUAGUAGAUAGACAUACUUGUGGUUUGCUACCUUAUGUUACCACUUGAUGCAUUCAUAAUAGUGGGACAUUUUUGUGGGACAUUAUUACAUUGACAACCUUAGUGGUAGUAAAUAUACACCUAUGUAAAUUAGUAUAGAUGCAUGGUUGGAAUGACAAUGAAAAAUAUAAUUUACUCAUGGCAUUAUAGAAAUGAUGAACAUGCAUGUAAAUUGACAUUGGCAUAUAAUUGAACAUGUGACAUUAGAACAUUAUGAACAUGAUAGUUAACCUUCUUUGGUAGAGGCAUGAUUUAUAAAUUAAGUUGUUGAAUUUAUUUGUUACCCUGAUAUUUGCUUACAUACCAUAUUAUAUCAUGCCUCAGUUGACUUAGUGGUGUAUUUCGUCACUCUCCGCGGCUUACCCUCUAGGAACUAUUGUUUAAUAGUUCUCACUCCCAUUGGUUGUUGGUUUUUGUUUCAGAGCCUUCCGCAGCGUAAAAGGUUAGGGAUCGUGGCAAGUGGUUAGCAACUAGCUAGAGCCUCUGCGGAGUUAUUAUAGAUGGACCCGGUGUCAUCUUUCCUUUUGUAUUUGUGGAAAAUAUGUAUUAUGUGUAUAUUUAGAGAUCUAUUAGUCUUUUGGAUUCAGUUGUAUAUGCUCUUUGUAUAUCAUGUGGAUGUCGAUGUUGUAGACUAUUAGUAGUUUUAUUUUACUUGCUCUGAUAGUCUUAUUAGGAAUCUACUCUUAUUUAUUCCUUGUUUAGUAGACGCCUUGUGUGCAUCGGGGGUGCUUGGUGUAUACAGCGAGUCUGUGCACGCGUCGGGCAGGCUUCCGCUGGGUCCGGGCGUGACAGAUUAUAUUGGUAUCAGAGUCUAAAGUUGAGUCUUAGUGGACCUAGCAAACUUUAGGCCAGUUGAAUGAUAAGAAUUAGGAGCGUGAGAGACGGAGACUUUUGAGACAAUUUGGCGAAAGUAUUAUGAUUGGGUCAUGUUUUAACUCCAAAAGUGUUGGGGUUUGGAUCGAAAUGAAUAACAUCUAUGUCCUUGCAAGAUCACAUUGGCGGCCGACAACGUGAUACCAGGGAAUAGUGGGAGGUCACUUCAUUACUUUCGUAUGAUUAGGAUUUUGUAUAUUAUGAGUGGGACUGCGAUAGCAAGGGUUGUGUUAACUUGUGCUUGUUAUGUUUGUUGCAGCUUGUGAUGUCGAUGACACGCUCUGUGACGGCCGAGGCGACUGAGCCAGAGAAGCCUGCAUCCUCCAAAUUCGGCGAGAUCCAGGAGUUAAGAGAGCAGCUGGCAACCUUAGUUGGCGUGGUGGAGCGACAGUCGAAUAUGGCGCUUCUUCAAGCCGAGGCCUUGCGCCGACAGGAUGAGGGAAUUAGAUGGUUAAAGAAUCUGUUGAUCCAACAGACGGCCGACCUCAGGAAAUUCCAUGAGACUUCAGGAUGGCAAUGGAGACCACCAAGAGUGACAAGUUACAUAUCGGUGGAUCAUCAAGGAAAUUAAAAUAAAAUCGAUCUCGGGGGCGUGGUCCUCUAGCUGGGAGAAGGACGUCGAAUCGUUGACCGCCGAUGCAAUAUGUGAUUUGCGGAGGUCCGCAUGCGCCCCCCACAGUGUCCUUGGCAGGGAAAAAAAUGUUUCUUGUGUGGCCAGGUAGGCCAUUUUCAAUCUGAGUGCCCGAGAAAUUGCAUGGUAGCAAAAGCAUCUAUACCGACUUUAUUGCGAGAGGCACACCGUGGACGUACACCUACAAAUUCGCUAGAGCAAGAUGUGGCGAUCGGGAUGAUUGCCGCAAGUAUCAUGUUGUGUAAUGCUAUUGGAAUUUGAUCAUGUUUGUGAUGAUUGCAUUACUUGCAUCCCUUGAUCCGCCGUUCGCCGAGUUGUUUAGCCUUGAUUCUUUUCUCGAUGCAUGUAGGAUGUUGGAUAAUCGGAAUUGUCAUUUUGACACCUGCUUAGUGAGAGGGUUUUGUGCGCCAACAAAUUGAUUGACCCUACUUGUUGUGGAGUGGUUGUGAUUAAGGUUCGACUAGUGAGGUACUUUGUACCGUUGUUUGCGCAAGCUGAAUCGACUCGCCUUGGGAACUUGAGCAUGACAUAGUGCAUCUUGAGGGUGUAAUCUCGUUGUUUGCGAUGACUGUUCCUUUACUUGAAUCAGGUAUUUCAUUAGAAGGGAAUUGCGACCUAUCUGGCCGAUAACCUUGAAUGAUUAAGAAUCCUCGGAAUGAAGGAUAUCUUUUUGAGGAGUUAUUGUUGUACUCCGAACCUAGUCACAAAAAUUAUAGGCUCAUUUGGUAGGAAGGCUUUUUGUGCCUAGUGUUUUGCUUUAUGGAGAAGCAAUCUCACUUGUUGUGAGACUGGAUGGGUCGUUUCGACUAUGUGUUGACAAUCGUGAUCUUAGUUGGGACACGAUUAAGUAUUUGGGCCCGUUGUUGAGACUCGUUGAUAUUUUCGAUCAGCCUUAAGGAUUAGGUGUACUCAAUAUAUUGAAUUGCAAUCUGAGUAUUAUCGACUUGUGUUGGAGUUUAAGGUUGCAUCUUAAACAGAUUUUAUGCUGGGUUGGGACAUUACGAACCUAUCGUGAUGCCACUUAAGCUUUUGGUGCUCCACCAGUUUUAGGGACUUGUUGAAUAAUGAUUCCAAGCCCUUCUGGAUGGAUUUAGAGUAUUGGUUGUUGAUGGCCGUGGAGUACCCUAGUGAUGAUGAAGACUUUGAAGAAUGCGUUAAGGUCGCAAAUACUUUGAUUAACGAAGUCCCUUGUCAAGACAAGGAUAUGGAUUUGUAGUAUUCUUUGACAUGGAAUGUCAACAAGGAUUUGUUUGGCGGACCCCUAGAGGGUAUGUGAUGGAUGACUGAGUAGGCAGAUUGAUGUGAAUUAGGUGUGAAACUCUCACAGUUUGAUUGAGUAUUGUGGAAAGCUCAAGGUGGGAAUUACCAAGUUGUUUAUUUUCCCUCAUUCAAUUCAUGUACAGUGGAAUUAAAUUCAUUUGGAAUGAACUACAUGAAAGGAGUUUAUGCUUCAGAAGCGGGUCGUGCAGUGAUGACUGUGAUUUUAAACUUGAAGGCAUUGACCAUAUCAAGGAAGAGAACUUAUUGAUGAAUUAUGUUUUGAUCCCUCCUUACCGGAUAAAAUGGAUCAAGUGGCGAUGAAUAACUUGAGCGCCCAAGUGGUGGGGAAGUUAUUGAUAAUGGGUAUUGAAGGAUAGCAGAACUAAGGGAUGUCCUUUUAGUGAACUCGUUGAGUUUUUGAGCAUUGCCCCCAAGCAGCAUUUAAAGAUAUGAAUUUAAGGUUACCGCCCUAGUAUUGGAAAUUGGAGGUGAUAUUGAAGCAUAGUAGUGCAUGCUGAUUGCUAGAUCCAACAGCAACCUCCAGUGAUCUAGUUGAGAUUACUGUCAACUUUCAUCAUCUACCGGAAGGGGUAUUACUAUGGAUAUUGGUAUUAGAUUGUUUCGUUAUCAAGCUAGACUUGAUUUUAUUUGGGAUGUUGUGAAUAGGAGCGGUAUUGUAACGUAUCGAAAUCUCGAUAGCGAUUAUCGAACUUUAGCCAAAUUGGUUAAAGUACCGAGAGAAAUGGAUGGACAAGUUCCAUUUAGCAUUCCAACAAGGUUGGAAGGGCUAAAAAUGAGUUUAAGAGGUGUUAGAAAGGUUUUAGCAUCGAUUGGCGCAAAAUAGAGUUGAAAACGGCGCAAAUACAACUUUCUGGGCAAAGUGUACCGGUACAACCAUCGAGUUGUCACCGGUACGGCCUUGCAGCCCGAGAAGAGAUUGCUCUCGGGUUUGAGUUUUCGCGGAAAUGUACCGGUACACCUCUGGUGUGUACCGGUACACUUUGGUAAAAUCCGAGGAGUUUGCUCUCGGGUUGCCUCUGCGCAGAAAAUGUACCGGUACAAAAUCCGGUGUACCGGUACACUUUGGGUCUGACAGUAAUAUAAAAAUUGCUGCAAUUAUGUAAAUGGGGAGGGUCUAAAUGCUAUUGUAGCAUUCUAAUAAGAGCCCAAUACCCCUUCUCACUCUCUCCCACAACCAUUCACCCCAUCCCUCUCAUUUCUCUUAUUUUUCUCUCUAGAGAGCUCUCCAAAAGGUGGAUUUGGAGGAGAUUUGAAGGAGAAGCUUGGUUUUGGUGGCUUGGAGAAGACCUAGGGCUCUCCUACCAGGUGGACUUGGGGAUAGCUAGUGGGCUAAGAUGAGUUUUAUGAUAAGUCUAGGAUUUGGAUUUGUACCAUAGGAAGUUAGGUUUUGGAGUUUCCACAAGUAUAGAAAUCUUCUUGAGGCCAUGAACACCAUGAAAUCCAUGGGUGCUUCAUGAGCUCACAUAGUGAAAAGAUAGGGUUAGCUUUAGAAGCCCUAGAAAUGGUUUAGAUGGUUCCAAAUGAGCUUCUAAAUAUUGGACAAGCUCUCUUUUGCUUGUUUUAAAGAUCAAAACCUAGCUUUGAGCAAAUGGUGUUGUUAGGGCACCCAAUUUGGAAUUUUUGCCUCCGAAUAUUUUUAAGGCAAAUUGACCUUGUAGAAACCUAAUUGGGGGUAUUCCCGACACGUGGGACAACUCAGUUUGACGUUACGAAAAGGUCUAGAUAAAUUUAUUGAGAAAAAGCCUAAUUUGGCUUCGUUUUGCCGUAGGCGAAAGAGUAGGGCUUCAAAAAUUCUAAGAAAUUCACCGUAGCACCUUUGCAACCAUACAAGGUGGGUGGUGCAUACCGAAGACCUCGGAAUUCCUUUUAUGUCUAAAGUGUUAUAUUUUAGCAUAUAUGUAUUGAGCAUAAAAUUUCAUAGUAGGGUUAUAUGUGAGCAUUUCAUUGCAUAUUGUGAGUACAAAUGCAUGUGAGUUACUAGCAAGAAUGUGAGAAUUUUAUAAACCCUAUGUAUGCAUGACAAGUGACAAGAACUUAGUGGACUUAGUAAACAAAUGUGAUAUUUUGACAUAGAAGUAGAAAGUGACAUUGAUGAGUCGAGAAUGCUAGAGUUGGAACACUUGAAAAUCAAGUGUGGCAUGUGUAUAAGAACAUAGUAGUGUAUAUGAUACUAGUGAAAGUAAAGAAUGCAAGUAAAGGUGUGAUAGUGACAUUAUGACAAUUUCAACCUUAGAGUUAAGGGUCAUAUGUGCAUGGUUUUCUUAUAGUUAAGGAAUGGAUUAAACUUGAUAUCCUUAUAAUUAAGGAUUGGAUCAUACUCACCUGUAAGUCCUUGCUCGAAUGUGGUAGCUCCCCCUCGGGCGAUGUGCUCCGGAGUUAUCAUCACUGGGUGUAGUAGUCUCCCCAGAGGACGGUCCCGUCGGGUGUAGUAGUCUCCCCGAUUUUUGGGAUUUGAGUUGUGAGUCUAUUGUGGGCGAAACCUACGGGCUAACCUAGAGAUUGGGUUCUGAGCAGUGACCUUGCAUUCAUCAUAAGUACUUUAUUGAGCAUAGCAUUAUUUAUUGUUCAGGCAUAUUAGCUGCAUUUGCUUUAGCUUGGUUACUAUCUCUCUAUUCUUCUAUUAUGCCUGAUUUAAACCUAGUGGGAAAGUCGGCGUGGUCGGUUGCUGAACCCACUGGAAACUUUGUUGUAGUUCUCACCCCACUAUUUCCACAGAGCCCGGACCGAGCGAGCCGGCGGAUGAUCGCGGUAAGGGCAUCGCACCCUAGAUAGAGACCACCUGAGAUGGUUUCUUAUUUUGGUUUAGUUGCAUAUCUUUAUACAUCACCUUUUUGUAUUUUGAUGACUAUAGAUGUUAAAGGAAAAGAAUAUGAAUGAUGUAAAAGACAAUCUAUAUUUCAAUGCAAGAACUUAUAUUUUGAGAUCAUGUGAUGUAAAAGAGAAGAAAAGAUGCAAAAAUGUAAAUGAUUUCCUAAGUGUAGUUUACUACUUUCACUAUUGGCUAUCGCUUGCCCUCGUGUAAGCCAUUGUGUAUGCUUCCGUUUUGUGCAAAAUUCAUACUCUAUUUGUACAGGAUGUUGAGCCUUGGGUGGACAGGAAAAACUCUGUCCGUUCGGCGUCUGUUUGACAGGGCCGAACCGGCCAAAUAGGACUAGGUUUGGGGCGUGACAGGUAUGGAGAAUUGCACCAUACUAUUUUGGAUUGUUCCGUCUACCUAUUCACCAUGCUUGAUCGUGGAAUAGAAUUGCACCAAACUGUCCAAUUUCUUGAUGAGGUUUGACCCUUGGACUUGGAGGAUCAUCGUAGGGGUUCGGGACAAUGAUUGGAAUUUCACGUCGCCUCCUAUUGGUAAGUGAUAAUCAUUCUGAGCACACCAGUUGAAUUUGGAGGGAUGUGUACCGGGUAUAAUCCUGAGAUUCUUCUGAUGGAUGAUUUCCAUUCAUAAGAACAAUGUAGAGAAUAGCUAAACUUCGCUCUCGACAAACUCGAGGAAAACGGGAAAUAGAAUUAGCCCUCUUGGAGGAAAUUAACUUCGUGUGAAUCAACUGAAGAACUUGUUGGACGAGCACCGAUAUGUCACGCCCCGAGGUCCCUUUUUGAUUUAAAAAUCAAUGCGGAAGUGCCCAAUUUUUUUUUUCUUUGAAAACCUUGACCUCCAAGAUAUGCUAGAUCCGCUACAAAUACAGGGAGUCCACUGUUCACAUGGACAGAGUCUCCCCUGUAUUUGCACGGCGUCGCACAAGUACAGAUACAACCAUAACGUAUGAACAUUCAUAUUCAUUCACCAUUCACAUCCACAUUCAUUUCAUCAUAAAUAUUCAUAAAUCCACAUCUAUUCGUUUAAAAUGUUUCCUACCCGGAAACUCAUUUUGAAACACUAGCAACCAGAAAAACAAGAAAAUCCUUUUUAAAACCGUUUCCCACACGGAAAUAUUUUUCUUUUAAAACACGCUGCCACGAGGGGUAGAAAAUUAUUUUUAACUCAUAAAACUCCGUAAACUUUAUUACAUUCAUAAACCAUAUGAACGAAAAUAAAAGGGCUUUUUUUGCAUUUAGCCCCUUGGCAAAUUUUUAUUUUAAAAUUAGCCCUGUCAAAAUUUAAUUUGCAAAAAUGGCCCUGGGCCUGCCACGCAGGCGCCACGUCAACGCCACGUGGGCAGGGCUGGGGCAGUGUGUUUAGUUGAACACGGUGAACCAUUCACCGUGUUCAAACAUGGUGAAUGGUUCACCGUAUUUAGUACAUAUUUUUUUUGAAAAGAGGAAUAGGGAGUAGGGAUGUCAAUAGAUAUGGAUAUCCGAAAUAUUAUCCGAAUCCAAACCCGAAUAAAUUAUAUAUAUAUACAUAAUUUAUUUUUAUUUAUUUAUACAAUAUAUAAAAUAUUUAAUUAUUUUUAUUUCUUAGAUCUACAUCCAACGGUAUAGAUUUUUAAAAUCUGCUGGGUUCAGGUUCGGGUUUCGAGUUUUUGGUCGAAUAUGGAUAUGGGUAUGAAUUUUUAAAAUCCGUCGGGUUCGAAUCCGGGUUUGGAUUUUAAUUUGAUUUUCGGGUUUGGGUUUGGAUUUUUAAAAAAGAGAAGAAAAUGAAUACAAAUUCUCUAUUCCUCUUUUCAAAAUACAAAAAAUACGUACCAAACACGGUGAACCAUUCACCGUGUUUAGACACGGUGAAUGGUUCACCGUGUUUAACUUCACUACCGCCCCCAGCCCCACCCGCGUGGCGCUGACGUGGCGCCUGUGUGGCAGGUCUAUGGCCAUUUUUGCAAAUUAAAUUUUGACAGGGCUAUUUUUAAAAUAAAAAUUUGCCAGGAGGCUAAAUGCAAAAAAAGCCCCAAAUAAAAUAAACCACUAAACUAUAAAUAUUGUCUAAGUCAUUUAUUAAAAGACAAUUUUGAGAGUUUAACCAAAUGACGGGUCGGUAGCUCUACCGAUCGCUAAGUGCGCUCCUCACGAACCGUCCUACUAGGACUCGCGACGUCACCUGAAAGGGGGGUGGGGGGUGAGAAUAUGUACACAUGUCUCCCCUCCCAGUGAGUACCGCAAGCCGACCAGGGCGAGGGGACUCACUAGCCACGGAGGAUAACAACAAGUAUAGAUAAUGGUAAUACAGUAGCAAUAAUAAACAAGAAAAACAAGAUGUAUAUAUGAAUCACUACCGCUGCUGUAUGUAUGCAUCAACCGGACGACUAGUCCAAAAGUACCCAAUCAGAAAUCAGCCAUAUUGGUCCGCACACCUCAGGCCUGUGCCACAAUUGCUCUAAACAGUAAAUGACCUCAGCAUAAGCUCUUGGGUCUGAAAGGAUAUAACCCGAGCAUAAACUCUUGGGCUCACGGGCUGGCACUCCCAACUAUUUUUUCGAAAAAAAAUACCCUCUUGUGGUGGAUCAGACCGUUGGUGUUCGUGAAAUGCGUACGAGCAGUGGCGAUCGAUGCUGAUAUGCUCAAUAGUCAAACAUCGGCAAUUAGCCGACAAUUCAACCCCUCAGGGUAUAUUGACCACGUAGGUCACCAAGUAGUCCAACCGACCAAGCAGAUCACAAUAACGGAUGCAGUGAAUCGAUCAAAUAGGUUACAGUACGAGAUACAAGAAUCGACUGACUAGGUCACAUUAUGAGAUACAAGAACCGACCGACUAGGUCACGAAUCUCACAUGUAAUCAUAAACCUGCUCUACUUCUACUCAUGAUGCUAGAUAUGAAAACAAUCAAGUAGAGCCUAAAAGGAAUAACAAAGGUGUUAGGCUCAACAUAAGGUAUAUGUAGGAUAAUAACAGGAAAAAAGGUAAGAAGAUAUCACCGAGCGUGCACCACUGUACCGACUUCGUGUCGAAGUACCCACCCGUACGUACGUAGCACUGGUCUCCCGACUGCGGAAGAAAGUCAACCGAACCUACGAAGGGUCCACCGAGUUAGUAUCCAACCCACAUAUAUGAAACACAAACUCACAUUCCCACCAGUAAACCCACGGGAAUCGGUUUUCCAAAAUCGAUUGCCGUAACUUGCCGGAAGUCCCAAAAAUCGUACUGGAACUCCGCCGGGACCCACGAACAGUCCGGAAACUCACCAACUCAUGCUAUGAGUCGUCCGCUACCACUAAACACAAUUAUUCGUGUGACUUGGCAGCAAACACACCUCUUCACCUCGAAACGAUUAUCGUCGGAUAAUCGUUCCGAUCCGGGUUCCCGGAAGUGUUAAAUUCGACACCAGAACCAACUGUCGCUCACCCGUCGUUUUUGAACCCUCGAAACGACAUGAGUGACCAGCCAACAUGGCUCAGCGACAACAUAAUUUACCAUGUGGUACCGUCGGAAGAAUUGCGAACUGAAAUCGCGUUCCGUCGGCGGAUUUCGUCGAAAAACACAUCGAAAAUGGACAUUCGAUUUCCGGAAAGGCCUGGGGCCUUGGACAACCAGUCCAGAGGUCACCCGAUACCUGCACACGGUUCCAAAAGCAACCACAAAAUGUAAAAUUACAUAUAAGCCCCUGCAACUAUAUAAAAUCGCAUCAUUUUCUGUGAUUUUUGGAGUUUUACGGCCCGACAGUGCAAACCGAGGACUUUGAAGACUGGCCGAGACACCCGCUGACAGGUCUCGAUGUGCCGGAGGCCGUGCUCGCAUUUCGGAGCAAGGCCAACCACUGUGGAGAGCGCAGGAGUGACGCGAAGUUCAGCGAAUAGCGCGCACAAUGCUAAACAACGCUUAUUUCGCAAACCGAGGCUUCGCUGAUCCCAAAGAAGGUGAGAACGAUGUUCGGCACGGAUCAUGGAUCAGCGUGCUCACUUUCGGGAGUGUUGGGGUGUCCUCGGGUCGCCGGAACAGCGACCCGAACCCGAAACAUUGCGCAGAAAAUAUAAAAUAUACUCACCAGAGCUUGGUGGAGCACGGGAUGGCCGGCGGCGGCCGGAUGGUGGGUGCGCCGGCAGAGGGAGCCUGCAGCCGGCCGGUGGGGGUCGGGGCUCGUGCUGGCCGGCGACGGAAGGCGGCCGGUGGCCCGGCGGCAAGGCACGAGCCCGUACACUGGCCUCGGUUCAAGGAGGCAGCGGCAGCCAGGCGGCGGCUUGGGGAGUGUCGGGGCGACAACGACUGGUCGCCUGAGGCCGUGGGAGGGCGGCGCGCCCGACGGUGGCUGGCGGCGGCGCGCAGAGGUCAUUGCGCUCGGCAGUUGUAAGGAGCUGGGGCCGGCCGGUGGCCCACGGGGACGACGGGGGCGGCGCAAGGGAGGCCGCCGGAGGUCGAGGAGGGCGGGGCGGCCUGUCUCGAAGUGGCAGCAGCUCGUGGCCGCGAGCUGACUCGAGCUUGGCCCGAGCUGCCUCGGGUGGCCGAGGGUGGCCCAGGCGGUGCCGGGGAAAGGGUCUCGGCCUAGGUAGGGGGCCCGAAGCGUGUGGUCGACUCCUUGAGGCCAUGGCUAAGAAGGUGGCAACCAGGUGGAGAGGGUGAUGGAGGAAAGGCAAAUGCCGAUUUUUCGGCGGCCGGCGGAGCUUGCCGACUGCCAAGGUGUGCGCGCGGCUAGGGUAGGGACUUGUUGGUGACACCUAGGGCGUAGCUGGGGAGCGAGCAUGUUAUAUACAUAUUGAGUAUUUUGCAAAACAGUCCGUUUUGCGCUUACGCACCUCGACAUUCGAAAUCACGCAAAACGAGACAUAAAAUAUAAGGCUUUUCGCGGAUUUUCUGUUUUGCCAAUUUCGACCACUUAGCGUACAAUAUGCGAUUCUCGGAGAUCUGUCCGUCGGAUUUUCGAUCGGAUUGUACCAGUGCAUUCAGCACGACUGGGGCAUCGAAUCCACAAUUUUGUUUUGUCAGAUUUGGUCACCGAUUUGCGACAAAACUCAUCCACUCUCCAAUUUUCCAAAAACCACACACACACACACACACACACACACACACACACACACACACACACACACACACAUAUAUAUAUAUAUAUAUAUAUGUAAAUCCAAUAAACCCCCUUUUACUCGAAAACCGUGCAUCAAAACCUAAUUCUGUCAGUUCCAUUGGGUUCAGGAUAGUCGAACUGUCGAGAACGAGCUAUUGGAUCACUAUGAACGGAGUCCAGUACGCAGUAGAAGCCACUCUAUUAAUUGGCCUCUCUAAAAAAUCAGAGUUACUAUUCACUUUAAGUGAUUAGUACAUGUCGCAUGACAUCUCGAUCUUAACUCGUUUUCUUCUGAAACUCGACAAGUGCUCAUGUAAUUAAAUUACACACAAAAAUAUCGUCAACCAAGGGUUUAUCUACACAACACAAAUCUCAGUCCUGACACGAUAAUAGGUGGAAUAUCUUACAAUGAGGAUUUGACUUCGAGGAACAAUUGUGGAAGACUUGGCUUGCGAUGUGCUAAAUUUUCGGAAUUGCGGGUUUUCCUAUGUGAAGAUGCCUUGUAGCAAUCUGGCAUGCUCGAGACUUUUGGGACCUGGUUUGUGCAUUGCUUGAGCGUUUCUUCCAUCUUUUCCAGAUGGGUUUACUAUUAGCCAUUCUUGAUUCUUAGCCAUUCUUUAUUAUUAGCCAUUCUUUAUCGCUAGCCGUUCUCUAACUUUAGCUAUUGCUUACUUACUAUUCUUUCCUAAGGUUACUUUACCUUAGCCAACUAUACCACUCAACUCGGUCUUGAGUCAAUCAUCUGUGGAUAAUCCGCGCUCUGUCCGGCUCGAGGUGAAGGAACUCUCACAUACACCUCAGCCUUCAAUCCACAAAUCACAUCGCCCAACGGGUCGCCCAGAGCUACGUACACCCGUGGUCAGGGAUCUCCCGGUGGGAGAGGAACAUGCCGCAUACACCCGCAGCCGAGAUCCUCGAUAGGGAGAGGAACAUGCCACAUACACCCUAGCGCUCAAUCUCAAGCUCAUGGCAUACCGGGCGAGGAGAACCACACAUACCCGUUGAAUCACUGCCGGGCAAGGAGAACCACACAUACCCGUUGAAUCACUGCCGGGCGAGGAGAACCACACAUACCCGCAGUUAUGAUUCUAUUUAUGCCAACCUACUUGCCGGGCGAGGAGAACCACACAUACCUGUUGAAUCACUGUCGGGUGAGGAGAACCAACAUACCCAUAGCUUUGAUUCACUUGCGCUCGGUCGCAAGUCUCAUCCGCUACACUAGCAGCCCUCAUUCCUAGGGAUUCCGGAAUCCACAUUCAUAUCUCUAGGGUUGGUCUUAUACCCUAUAAUGUCGACCUAUCUAGGUCCAAGCCAUUACUCGACCUAAGUUUAAUACAUUAGGUCUAAUGUCACUAUGUUCAUAGCCUAGGUUCUAUAACACUAGGUUCGAUGUUCUUUACUACCUAGGUUCAUUUGACUCUAGGUUCAAUGCCACUAUACUCAUAACCUAGGUUUACUUAAUUCUAGGUUCAUUGCCACUCAUGAUUCACCUAUGUUCAUUAACACUAGGUUUUAAUGCCACUUAUUAUACUUGUCAUCCUAGUGUUUGAAGUAAAAAAAAAAAAAAAAAAAAAAAAAAAAAAAAAAAAAAAAAGAAAAAAAGAAAAAGAAAAAUUGGGGUAAAGUAGUUCUAAUCAAAACUGAUUAAAUUCAGACUCAUACAAUCCUAAUGGGUCUCAUGUUGACCGAGAAAUUUUGGGGCCAAUAAUUAUAAUUUAAAUCCACAAUAAGCUCAUUCAUCAAUGUAAGUUGGUGGACCUCAUGAAAGCCUUUUAAAAUUUUAGACCUAUACAAUAAUUCGGACCUCAUUUCAGCUCAUUAAAUAUUAUCAUUUGUGCCUAAUAAAUUUCAUUAAAGUGGGCCUGAUCAACGACGGCCCAUAUCCAUACCCUAUAAAAUAUCUGUUCGAAAUUCAAUUUCAAACCACAACCCAUUCAAAAUUCGAUUUCGAAUUUUGAAUCCCCAACCAAUUUCCAAAAUAUCCUCCAACCAUCCAACAAUCUAUUCAAAAUUUGAUUUCGAAUUUCGAAUCCCGAACCAACUCCCAAAAUAUCUUCCAACCACCAAACAAUCGAUUCAAAAUUCAAUUUCGAAUUUCGAAUCCCCAACCAAUUCCCAAAAUAUCUUCCAACCAUCCAACAACCUAUUCAAAAUUCGAUUUCGAAUUUCGAAUCCCCAACCAACUCCAAAAAUAUCUUCCAACCAUCCAACAACCCAUUCAAAAUUCGAUUUCGAAUUUCGAAUCCCCAACCAACUCGAAAAAUAUCCAACAACCAAUUUAAAAUUCGAUUUCGAAUUUCGAAUCCCCAACCAAUUCCCAAAAUAUUCUCCAACUAUCUAACAACCGAUUCAAAAUUCGAUUUCGAAUUUUGAAUCCCCAACCAACCUCCGAAAUAUCUUCCAACCAAUCACAACAACCGAUUCAAAAUUCGAUUUCGAAUUUCGAAUUCCCAACCAACCCCAAAUAUCUUCCAACCAACCACCACAACCGAUUCAAAAUUCGAUUUCGAAUGUCGAAUUCUUAACUGACUCCUCAAAAUAUCUCUCGCCACCCCUCCUAUUAUAAAUAUGAGAAUCGAAAUCAAAUGUCGGACGAUGGACGGAGAAGAGAAAAAAAAAAAAUAGAUAGAUUGCUACACACGUUCCGACGUACAAAAAAAAAUUCAAAGGAAGAGAGAUCGCCGAGCCGCGGAAAAGAUGAGAGAUCGUCGAGCCGUGGAAAGAAUGAGAGAUCGUCGAGCCACGGAAAGGAGGAGAGAUUGCCGAGCCGCUUCAUCCGAUCCGUCAUCUGAUCAACAGGUAAAGACAAAAAAAAAAAGAACGAAGAAAAAAGAAAAAAUAUAAUAAAACAUAUCAAAAAAUAUAAAAAAGAUAAAAAAAAUUUCUUUUCUCCCCCAUUUUCUUUUUCCUUUUUUUUAGGUUCUACUACCGUAGUCAUCCAUACCGUCUAAAUGAUUUCGAUGGGAGAGUGGAGGGGAGCCAAUGGCUUCCCGUUUCUUCGGACCUCUCAAUACUCUAUUCAAAGCCGUUAAUUGAUGGAAUGGGUGAUCUACAUUGCUGUGACCACCUCUAGCAUCGACGGUUUGGUAUUUUCGAAAGAAGAGGGGAGGGGAAUCUUUGAUUCCCUGUUUCUUCGGACCCUUCAACAUGUUUUGAAAAUAUCGAGCCAGAUCCAACGGCCUCACAGAUCCGCGCCACCGUCAUCAUCUUCACCGACGUCAUCUCCAGCAUCGCCGGUUUGAUAUUUUCGAAAGAAGAGGGGAGGGGAAUCUUCAAUUCCCCGUUUCUUUCGGACCCUUCAGCAUCUUUCAAAAAUGUCAAACCAAAUCCGACAGCUGAAUAGAUCCGCGCCACUGUCAUCAUCUACACCGACGUCAUCUCCAGCAUCGCCGGUUCGGUGUUUUCAAAAGAAGAGGGAAGGGGAAUCUCCGAUUCCCGUUUCUUCGGACCCUUCAACAUCUUUCGAAAAUGUCAAAUCAAAUUCGAUGGCCGAACAGAUCCGCGCCACCGUCAUCAUCUUCACCGACGUCAUCUCCAGCAUCACCGGUUUAGUGUUUUCGAAAGAAGAGGGGAGGGGAAUCAAAGAUUUCCUAUUUUUUCGGACCCUUCAAUCUUUUCCGAGAACAUUGAAUCAAUUCACGAAACUUUCAGACCAGCUUAGAUCCAAAUCAAAUCAAAAAUCAAACGGGGAUUUCUUCGGACGCCAAAUCAUAAAUCAAACGGGGAUUUCUUCGGACCCCAAAUCAUGAAUCAAACGGGGAUUUCUUCGGACCCCAAAUGAAGAUCAAAACGGAAAUUUCUUCGGAACCCAAAUCAAAUUAGAAUCAAUAAGGGGAUUUCUUCGGACCCAAAAUCAAGAUCAAAAUGGAAAUUUCUUCGGACCCCAAAUCAAAUUAGAAUCAAUAAGGGGAUUUCUUUGGACCCCAAAACAAACUAGAAUUAAAAAGGGGAUUUCUUCGGACUCCAAAUUAAAUUAGAAUCAAAAAAGAAUUUCUUCGGACCCCAAAUCAAAUUGCAAAAUCAAAAAGAGAUUUCUUCGGAUCCCAAAUCAAAUUGCAAAAUCAAAAAAGGAUUUCUUCGGACCCAAAAUCAAAUUACAAAAUCAAAAGAGGAUUUUUCAGACCCCAAAUCGAAUUGCAAAAUCAAAAGAGGAUUUCCUCGGACCCGAAAUAGAAUUGAAAAGAAAACCAAGUCCACAUAAGAAUCCAAAUCCGGACUCAAAUCCAAACCAAGCCUACAAAUAAAAUCCAAAUCCAACCCUAACCAAGUCCACAUAAGAACCCAAAUCCGGAUUCAAAUCCAAGCCAAGUCCACAAAUAAAAUCCAAAUCCAACCCAAACCAAGUCCACAAAUAAAAUCCAAAUCCAAUCCAAACCAAGUCCACAUAAGGACCCAAAUCCGAAUCAAGUCCACUAACAAAACCGAAACUUGAACCCAAAUCCAAACCAAGUCCACAAAUAAAAUCCAAACCCAAACCCAAAACUCAAAUCUAAACCCAAACCCAAAACCCAAAUCCAAACCAAAUCAAGUCCACAAAUAAACCCAAAUCCAAAAUCCAAAUCAAAUCCAAACCCAAACCAAAUCAAGUCCACAAAUAUACCCAAAUCUAAACCCAAACCCAAAACCCAAAUCCAAACCAAAUCAAGUCCACAAAUAAACCCAAACCCAGAACCCAAAUCAAAUCCAAACCCAAAUCAAAUCAAAUCCACAAAUAUACCCAAAUCUAAACCCAAACCCAAAACCCAAAUCCAAACCAAAUCAAGUCCACAAAUAAACCCAAACCCAGAACCCAAAUCAAAUCCAAACCCAAAUCAAAUCAAAUCCACAAAUAAAACAGAAAUUCAAAACCCAAAUCAAAUCCAAACCCAAACUAAACCAAGUCCACAAAUAAAACCCAAACCCAAAACCCAAAUAAAAUCCAAACCCAAAACACAAAUAAAAUCCAAACCCAAACCAAAUCAAGUCUACAAAUAAACCCAAACUCAAAUCCAAUCCAGCCCCCAGAUAACCCUAAAUCUAAAUCCAAUCAUAAAUAGAACCCAUAUCCGUCUUCCAACUUGGAUUCAUGAACCAAGUUCAUAACCUAAAUCCCAUGAAAAAGGAACCAAGAACCAAGUUCAUGAACCCAAAUUCCUUGAAUCAUGAACCAAAUCCUAUAAUCAAGUUCGUGAACCAAGUCCAUACACCAUAUCCCAUGAACCAUGUCCAAGUUCAUGAACCAAAUCCCAUAAACCAUACACCAAGUUCAUGAACCAAAUCUCAUGAACCAUAAACCAAAUGCCAUAAACUAUAUCCAAGUUCAUGAACCAAAUCUCAUGAACCAUAUCAAAUGCCAUAAACCAUAUCCAAGUUCACAAACCAAAUAUCAUGAAUCAUACAACCAUACACCAAGUUCAUGAACCCGUAAACCAUACCCAAGUUCAUGAACCAAAUCUCAUAAAUCAUAAACCAAGUUCCCGAACCAAAUAAACCAAAUUCAUGAAUCAUGAACCAAGUUCAUAAACCAAGUUCAUAUACUAAACCCAUGAACCAUAUCCAAGUUCACGAAACAAAUCUAAUACCCAAAUCUCAUGAACCAUACACCAAGUUCAUGACUCAAAUCUCAUGAACCAUGUACCAAGUUCAUGAAUCAUAACCAAACCUCAAAAACCAUAUACCAAGUUCAUGAACCAUAAACCAAACCCCAUGAAUCGUACACCAAGUUCAUGAACCCAAUCCCAUAAACCAUACUCAAGUUCAUGAACUAAAUAUCAUGAACCAUACAUCAAACCCUAUGAGACAUAAACCUCAUGAACUAUACACCACAUCCUAUGAACCAUAUACUAUACCCACGAACCAUGUCCAAGUUCAUGAACCAAAUCCCAUAAACCAUACACCAAAUUCAUGAACCAUAAACUAUGAACCAUAUCUAUGAACCAAAUCUCAUGAACCAUAAACCAUAUCCCAUGAACCAUGCCCAAGUUCAUAAACCAAAUCUCAUAUACCAAACCCAAUGAACCAUAUUCAAGUUCAUGAAACAAAUCCAUUACCCAAAUCUCAUGAACAAUAAACCAAGUUCGUGAACCAAAUGAAUCAAAUUCAUGAACCAUGAACCAAAUCUACAAACCAAGUCCAUAAACCUCAUGAACUAUAAACCAAGUUCAUGAACCAUGAACCAUGAACCAAGUUCAUAAAUCUCAUCCAUAAACCAAAUCUCAUGAGUCAAUACCCAAAUCCCAUGAACCAUGUAUCAAAUUCAUGCUCAAAGCUCAUCAUGAACCUUUUAUUUACUCUAGUACAUAUACCUAGAGUAAAAAAAAAUCGAAUAUCGACUACCCCUAAUACAUAUACUUAGGGUUAAGUCAAUUGCCUUAGCAUAUAUAAUUAAGAAAAAACAUCUCCAAAUCGACAGAGUUCUAAAUUAUAUACUUAGAAUUCAGUCGAAUGAUAUCAAAUUCAUUCGAACUCUAACACAUAUACUUAGAGUUCAUCCGACUAACCCUAAUAUAUACCCUUAGGGUCUAGUCAACCUUUCACUCUAGCACAUAUACCUAGAGUGGGUAGUCAAACCAAGCUCGACUAGUCCUAACCUAUAUACUUAGGGUCUAGUCAGCCUUUUUGCUCUAGCACACUUACCUAGAGUGAAAUUCAUACACGAUUGUGUUCUAAUACAUAUACUUAGAGCUCAUGAAACCAAAUCUGACGAACCCUAGCAUAAUACCUUAGGGCUUAGUCAGAUCCUCACUCUAGCACAUAUAACUAGAGUGAAAAAUAUAUUAAACUCGGUUAAUCCUAAUACAUACACUCAAAAAUUAGCCACUCUGUACUUUCGAAUAAUAUCAAAUCCGACCUACCUCAAUACAUAUACUUAGGGUUUGGUCACAUCUCCACCUUGGAAUAUACAACCAAGGUGAAUAUAAUUGAACUCUAAGACAUAUACUUGAGCAAAUUAGACUAUAAUAUAUAGAGUUUAAUAUCGACUACGUCUCAACAUAUAUAUUUAGGACCUAGUCAAUCUCAAACCCAACUGAAUCCUAAUACAUAUACUUAUGAUUCAAUAAAUCAAGAUACGAUCCAUUCCAUCCCAUCUUUAAAGGUCUCUUAAUCGAAGGUGCCCCAAUGCCACAGGGGGUAAUUAACAAUAGAUGCUUGCAUCUAUUGGAAGCCAUGGACCCGCAAUACCUGAUACCCAUAUGCAUAUAAAAACUAAUCUGAAUCAUGAAUACUACCCCACGGCAAAAUCCAUCGAUCGUGCGAGGUGUGUCAUUCGUGGUGGCAGACAAAAUGGCAUGCCCGGUGGGACUUGGCGUCUCCUUCCAUCUUCGAGACCUUAAAAAAAAAAAAAAAAAGGAGAAAAUGUUUCCUAACCACUACCUUUUUUGCAACAGGAAAUGACACCAACAUCAAAGAACGUUGUCGCUGCGUCAACAAACUCAAUGAUAUUAGAGGCGGGUUCGCGAGUCUGCUUGCCCACAUCUGUCCUGACUUUUGGAACUGCAGGUGCCUCAAUUCAAAAUUGAGGCACUAUUCCAGAAGCUGUUCGAGCUGCUAUCAUGGCUGUAACUUCCACCACUGCUGGGGGCAUGACCAUUCCAGCCGGCCCUUCACAGGAUGUGUCCAAUGUGGUCAUUCCUCGGCUGCCAUCUCGAGGAAAACGACCCAAUGUGGUUUUCCUGACACUAUGAAUUUUCUGACACUGUGAAUUUUCUACUAAAAUAUCAGCCCCGUUCCUUACAGAAAAUUCUAAAUCUUCUAUUUUCUUUCCGAUUUUAGCACAACUCGUUUCCAACUUAUAUUUUACUUCUUUAAGUCCAAUAAAAAUAAUAUUUCACACUAUUUUCAUUUAUAUUUACUUUUAUAUCAAGAAGUCGAUAAAUUACAUUCUCCACCCCUUAAAAGAGUUUCGUCUGUAAAACUCAAGCCACGCCUCGAUUUAGCCCCUCGAGCAAUUGAGGGCACCAAUGCACUUUCCCACUCCGGAAUGGCCUCACGUUCAUCGGAACGAUUCAAAGGCCCGCUAUGGAGGAUACGAAAUCAAACACAUACACGUUUGCAAGGCGCGGUUCAUAAAGUACAUUACGGUCUCCAUAACUCUCGGUGGCAGCGCAAGUCGAAACAGGGCUACUCUACGUGCUCCAACACCACUCGCCACUUGGCACACAAGGAACUCUUCCUUGCAUUUACCUUCCCUUCAGGGAAUACAUUCCAAUUCAAUCACCGACAUUACUUAAAAGCAAUAUCACUGGUGCAUCGCUCCAUCGUGAGUGCUCCAAUUCCGCACUGACCUUUAGCUCUAACGCGAGAUGGCCUAAAACUCCACGUGGCUUGCCACUAGCUCAAGGUCUCACCAAGAGCACUUCAUCUUCUGAUACCAUAUGCCACGGUCAAUAUCAAAUCACUUUUGCAACGAGCUCACAUGAAUGCUUCGUUCAUGAAUUCGAGUCAAACUCCUCGAUAAGGCUAUUCGCCAAAUCGCUUUUCUCGAUUUACUGCGAAGUACCGGUACCAACCUAGUUCCGUACCGGUACUCAGCCCCACAGUGACCAAACCCGAAAGCAAGCCUCUCGGUUUGCCUGCAUGGUACCAGUACCUCCUUUAGUAAUCGGUACAUAGAGCCUAGGCUUCAGCUUUGGCAGUGCUUGGCUCUACUUCGAGCCGAGCAAUGCUAAAGCGCAUUAGUCUCACUUGGAACUUGACUUUAACCUUUCCAACAUUGUUUCGUAUGGACUUUGUCCAACCAUCCCUCUCGCCACGCUUCGGUUAUUUUGACCAAAAGUGGUUUAACACGACGAGGGUUUAUUAAUUUCUUGAAGGUCAUAAGGGCAGCCAAAGCUCGCUCCCUCUCCACCUCCACUACUGAAAUACUAAAAGUCGGAUUCCCCGACCCCGACGAAAACACCUCCGUCGCGACUCCCGGCCGUACUCGACGGGCCGAAACUGGUGUGAUCACCAGCUGAUCCAUUAUGUCUUGGAGUCCUCUAAUCCGCUCCUCCUGGCGCAUAGCAGCCUCCUGCUGACACUGCACCACAUCGGCUCGUUGCCUCACCACUUCCACGAGAGUGGCCAACAGCUCGCGAAAUUCCAAGUCUCCGCUCGCCUUAAAUUUCUCAGGGACACCACUUGUCCCAUCCCACACCGAUCUAGAAAGAGAUCGUCUAUUCUUAUCACUCGGUUUCAUGUUGUGUGCACCCAACAUGAACACCCUCGGUUGAGAAUAAACCCCACCUUUAAUCUACCUCUAACAUCCGUCUCAGAGGUUUACAACACAACCCAAUCUUUUAUUCUUUUGCCACAAGUCACAAGUUCUCGUCUCUCAAGAGCCUUAACCUCUACGGUUUACUAUCCUAUGGUCUCCUAGGUCCAACUAAACGGUUUUCUUUAUAUUCUUUUAUGUUUUUUUUUAUGCUCUGAUAUCAUCUUAUCUGUUACGCCCCGAGCCCGCCUAUUUGGUCUGAUUCGGGCACGCCAACAGACUGCCGAACUGACAGGAUUUUUCCUGUACCGCGGACAGAGUCUCCCGUGUACGUCCAAGGCGUCACAAUCCAUACAAUGUGCGAGGUUCCAACCAGGAACGGCAUUUAAACACAGAUUGUACAAGGAAGGUAUCAAAAACAUAAAUGCUAAAUUAUUACAAGCAUACAACUCGCAUACCGUUAUAUAUUACAUUUUCAUUCUCUUUUUAGCUUCCAAAUACAAUCAGAUUUGACAAUUAUUACAACUUGGUUCUUUUCCUUUUUACAACCCUACGUUAUGCCGACUCAGGGUACAUCUAUCUCUGGUCUCAGUGGUAGGGCGUUAUCUACGGAGCUACGCCCUUUCCUCGCGCCGCCGUGCCGCUCACAUGUGAACCUGAAACCCCCAAAACAACGUGGGGUGAGAACUAUUGUUGUAACACACUGGACCUUUGCAAAUUGCGAGGUUCGAGUGAUUAGCUGUGCUCUGAGCUUUUCCAGAUUUUCUGGUAGGUCGUUGACUGUGUUCCGACCUAUGGCACGUGUCCCGAGGAGUGUGGUACGAAGCCUUGCACCAAAACCCAAAAAUUUGGAUUUUGGUCAGCUCUCGGAUUGGCUGUCUGGCUGGCUUGUACCGGUACAAGGUUGUGCUUGUACCGGUACAGAGCCGAGAACUCGCAAACCCGAGCCUCGGGUUUGCAUUUUCGCAGGUCUUGUACCGGUACAAGGGUGGUCUUGUACCGGUACAAUGUUGAUGGUUGUACCGGUACAGCCAUCGGGCCUGUACCGGUACAGUGCCGCAGAACCGCGCACCCGAGCCUCGGAUUUGGAUUUUCGUAGCUCUUGUACCGGUACAAGAUCCCGUGUACCGGUACAAGGAGGCAGAUUUUGCACAGUUUGCUCUGCAGGGGCUUAUUUGCGAUUGUGGGCUUCUUAUAUCAGCACCCACGCCCCUAGGGCUCUCCUCUGGGCUGAGAAGAGUGGAGAACCAGGUAAGGGAGCUCCCCACACCAUCUCUUUGGAUUUGAUUCCCAUUUUGCAUGGUUUUUGAUGGAUUUUCCUCUCUUUUUCCCUUUUGGAGCUAUUUCCACCAUUGUUGGAGCUUGGGACUUGGAUUUGGAGUUUGAUUGAGGGAAGAUACUUGAAGUGUGAGGACUUUGAGCUGGUUUUGAGGCUUCUAAGAGGUAAGUGGCAAGAUCCUUUCCUCUAAUCUUGGUUUUUAAAGGUUUCAUUGAGAUGAAACCCUAGAUUUGGGAUUUUAGGGUUUAUUUUGGGCAUUUUCGUUUUAGGGCUUUUGAAGCUCAAUUGGUUGGAUUAGAACCUUCCUCUAGGUUAGAUUGGAAGGGUUCUAGCUCUCUUUUGGAGCAUAGGAAGAGAUUUCUUCUCUUGAGGUGAGUUUUGCCCUUUUUGCUAGAUGCUUAAUGUUUGAGCUUUUUGCUCUUCGUAUCGAUUGGAUGACACUCUUUUUGAUGUUCCUAGGGUGCUAGAAAGCUUGUAGAAACCUCCGUUGGAGUAAACGAAAAGCUUCGUUGUCGUCGGUGGGUUUGACCUAGCCUAUAAUAUGAGAAAAUCUCAUAUUUGGUGAUAAGUGCUUUGUUUACUAAUAAUUCAUGCAUUUUCAUAUUAAAUGUAUUUAUUAUGAUUUUUAGAAUGCUUAAAAUGCAUAAGUUAUAUAUGAUGAAUUUUUGGACCUCUAUGUAGUAGAGAGUUGCUUGGGAGAUCUUUGGUUGCAUUUAGCAUUCUAUAUGAGGUUUGAUUUCAUGGUUCUAGAGAGUAAAUGAGCUAUGAUUCAUGCGUUUAAACAUAAGUUUAAUUGGGACAUGAAAGAUGACAAUUGCUACAAUUGUAGGCAUCGAACUUGAUAUCAUGUGAAUUGGAGAGCUAAUGUCAUCAAGCGGCAUUGAGCUCAGGACUUGUGAGAACCUAGUGGAUAGGGCCAUUGAGGGAUUUGGAAAACAUGUUGAACAUCAAAUUGCCUAAGUGUCAUCAAGGGGCACUAGGCGUAGCAAAUGUUGAAACUUCACAUUGUGACUUAGACUAGAUCUUCGGGAUGCUAGUUAUGAUACCAUGUUAGAGACAUGAGGAUUGGAUAUUUGAGACUUGGACUAUGCUUGCUUGCCAUUUGUGCUCAUUCGCACAUGCUUGUGAGGGUCGCUCCCUACAAGCCGGCACUCCGGAGUUAGCCUACGCGACUUUUGAUCGCUCGUGCGGUAUUGAGAAGCCUACGGGGUCGAGUGGGACAGACACAUUCCAAGAGUAGGAAUGUCGGGCUACCACAGGCACUUAGGCGGCACAAGCUGGACUACCUUGGGUAGGUCCCUAAUUGGAAAUGGAAAUCGACACGGGGUUGAGGAUGAAUGAUCACUACUAGAUAGACUUAGUAGUUGGGUUACAUUUACAUGCUUUUAGCAUAGUGUGAGACAUGUAGUAUACUUGGUUGCCAUAUUAGAACUUCUACAUCAUGUAUUGACAAAGGUUAACAACAUUAAACUAGUGUGAUUGGACUUAAUUGUAAUGAUAGAAUAGAUGUACAUUUUGGUUGACAUCAUGCUUAUUUGAGACACAGUAGACUAGCAUUUCAUUUAUGCUUUCUUUCAGCAGUUUAUGUAUAUGCUCCUUAUUGCUUUUAUUAUUAUCGUUACUUACCCUUGUUUUUGGGGCCUAGUGGAGCAAGAGCUGAGGUCAGUAAUUGCCCACUGGGAACUAUAAAUUAUAGUUCUCACGCCCUCUUUUUCUCGAUGUUUUUCAGAGCCUUCCACGCAGGGAGAGGCCAGGGAUCGCGGAAAGGGUAUCGCCUCGGGCUAGCGUGCUUACCGAGGGAUCGUUCGAUAGGUGGUCUACCUCUCGUGUUUUUUUUUUGUGAGAGGUUGAGAGUUGUACCCGUAUAUGUAUAGAGACCACCAUUUUUGUAUUAGAGACGGUUAUUGUACUACUUAUGGUUAUCUUUGUUUGACUAGCUUUAUUUUUUUUACUUUGGAGUAGAUGAUAGAACUUUACUGGCUCUGAUAUCAUUAGUUGCUAGUUAUUUCACUACUUUUAUUUGUUCUAUCUCCUGCUUUACUUCCGCUUUUGUUGUAGACGCCUUAUAUGUGUAGACAUAUGGCGGGUCUGGGCACGCUACCGGGAGGGCCUCAGCCGGUCCCGGGGCGUGACAAUUGUCUAUAGUUUCCAGUGGGUACGACCACCCAAGGAAAGAGCUCGACCGACCAGGUCCAAAGGAGACACUGUAAACAUGUUAGUCCAACAGAUAUAUAUAACAUCAUAUAAUUCAUGUUCAUGCCUCACAACAUACAACUAUGCAACUUAUGCAAGUAAUUCACUUAAUUCUACAUACUAUCGCUUGCCAUUCUUUACUAUUAGCCAUUCUUGAUUCAUAGUCAUUCUUUAUUAUUAGCCAUUCUUUACCGCUAGCCGUUCUCUAACGCUAGCCACUGCUUACUUACCAUUCUUUCCUAAGGUUACUUUACCUUACCCAACUAUGCCACUCAACUCGGUCUUGAGUCAAUCAUCUGCGGAUAAUUUGCGCUCUGUCCAUCUCGAGGUGAAGGAACUCUCACAUACACCUUAGCCUUCAAUCCACAAACCACAUCGCCCAACGGGUCGCCCAGAGUUGCAUACAUCCGUGAUCAGGGAUCUCCCGAUGGGAAAGGAACAUGCCGCAUACACUCGCAGCCGAGAUCCCCGAUAAGGAAAGGAACAUGCCACAUACAUCCUAGCGCUCAAUCUCAAGCUCAUGGCAUACCGGGCGAGGAGAACCACACAUACCUGUUGAAUCAUUGCCGGGCGAGGAGAACCACACAUACCCCCAGUUAUGAUUCUAUUUAUACCAACUCACUUGCCGGGCGAGGAGAACCACACAUACCCGUUGAAUCACUGUCGGGCGAGGAGAACCAACAUACCAACAGUUCUGAUUCACUUGCGCUCUGUCGCAAGUCUCAUCCGCUGCACUAGCAGCCGCUGCACUAGCAGCCCUCAUUCCUAGGAAUUCCGGAAUUCACAUUCAUAGCUCUAGGGUUGGUCUUAUACCCUAUAAUGUCGACCUAUCUAGGUCCAAACCAUUACUCGACCUAAGUUUAAUACAUUAGGUCCAAUGUCACUAUGUUCAUAGCCUAGGUUCUAUAACACUAGGUUCGAUGUUCUUUACUAUCUAGGUUCAUUUGACUUUAGGUUCAAUGCCACUAUACUCAUAACCUUGGUUUACUUAACUCUAGGUUCAUUGCCAUUCAUGAUUCACCUAUGUUCAUUAAUACUAGGUUUCAAUGCCACUCAUUAUACUUGUCAUCCUAGUUGUUCACACUUAAGAUUCUUAAUUGACAUGCCAUUCAAUAUUCUUAUUCUCCUAGUUAUCCAUACCUAGGAUGUAGUUUACAUCUUCUUGCUUUCCGAUGUCGAGUUCUCUAUCAACCUAGAGUUAUCGACCCAAGUUCACGUUUAUGUGAAUCUAACAUCUAUCUCAUGCAUUCGUUUAUUAGCAUAUAUCUCAUGCAUUCAUUUAGCAUACAUCAUGCAUUCACCAUUAGCAUACAUCUUAUACAUUCACUUAGCAUAUACUUUAUACAUUCAUUUAGCAUACAUCAUGCAUACCCAAUUACCAUAUAUUUUAUACAUUCACUUAGCAUCUAAUUCAUGUAUUCAUUUAGCAUAUACUCUAUGCAUUCACAAUUAGCAUCUAUCUCAAUCAUGCAUUCUUUUAGCAUAUAUCCCACGUAUUUUUUAGCAUUUCUCAUAUGCAUACUUUAGGAUCUAGAUCAUACAUUCGCUUAGCAUAUAGCUUAUGCAUUCUUUAUUAGCAUCUCAAUCAUGCAUUCUUUUACUAGCAUACAUCUUAUGCAUUUACAAUUAGAAUCUAACUCAUGCAUUCACUUUAGCAUUUAACUCAUGAAUCUAGCUCAUAUUUAACAUCUAGCUCAUGUUAUUUAGCAUAUAUCUCAUGCAUCCAUUCAUUGGCAAUUAACUAUCACUUCAUGCAUUAAUAAUGAAACACACUUCACUUUGGCAUGGAAGCGACCUAAUUGUUUUGGUAGAGCACAACCCACCUUAUAUCGCUCUCCGAUUGUUUGUAGCCAUUUGCAAUCGAGCUCCCGCGGCACAUGUGAUCCGGUUCGGCUCGUACGCGCAAACGAUCACCGAACGCCCAACAAUCCGCAACGUAGGGUCAUCACGGGCUCAACUCUAACCUUCAAUUAGAGGAUUAAAGGGUUAAAUGAGAUCAAAACCCUUAUUUACUAAAACCCCAAUUUGAAGUACUAGCCUUAAUACAUCCUCAAAUACCCCAAAAAUAUAUGGAGUAACUUGUUUAGAACACUCUAAGGACUACUAGAAUAUCAUUCAUGAAGGAUUUAACCAAAUCCUAAACUCUUACCAAAAUGCGAACGCCGAGUCGGAAGUACGCCGCUCAACCGGGCGCACGAAGACUCGAACUGUCGCUCCACACGUGUUCCCAAGCCCGCUCUCAGCCAAGCCUCCAAAUUUGGAAGAGAGAGAUGAAGAGAGUAGGGAGAUAUCUAAACAGAGAAAUGGAGGGUUUCCUCUCCCUCACCAUACGUGUGUGUGUGUGUGUGUUGUGUUCGGUUGAGAAGAAAGGUGGAAGAAGGAAAUGGGAAAAAGCCCAUUUUUAUAAGUCAACACCCCUCAACAUAUACUAAACUUCAGUUUAGCAGCUCAGAAUCUGUUCCUUUUCGCCGGAGCCCUUCUAAACGUCCGUUUAUGCUCAAAUUUGACAGUCAGACUUGGUUUAAGCUAAUAGAAAGAAAUAUAUCUUAACUUUUCAGUUUUAACUAUUUUUGGUCACCGAAAACUCUACCGACUAAAAUCUCUAGCGGAUAGCAGUUAGAUUUUAUUUUUCACUUUCCGGGUGUCGGAAUGAUAUGAAACUUUAAAUCUAACCUCAUAAAAAUAAUUCCGACAUAUUCUUCAAUUUUUAUAAUUUUCUGACACUGUGAAUUUUCUGCUAAAAUAUCAGUCUCGUUCCUUACAGAAAAUUCUAAAUUUUCUAUUUUCGUCCGGAUUUCAGCACAAGUUAUUUCCAAUUUAUAUUUUACUUCUUUAAGUCAAAUAAAAAUAGUAUCUCACACUAUUUUUAUUUAUAUUUACUUUUAUAUUAAGAAGUUGGUACAUUAUAUACUAUGAAGCGUUUGAUAGACAUAAAAGGACACCAAAUUUUCAGAGUAUAGUUUAACUAUAUUACAAAAAAAUAGAGUAGAAUAACAAUCAAAGAAAAAAAAUUUUCACUUCUUGGGAUCCCUCACCCGCAAGAUGAAAACUUUAAAUUUCAAAAUUUUAAAUUUUAAAUUCCAACAUAAAAUUUUAAAUUAAAAAAUUUAAAUGAAAAAUUAAAAUUUUUAUAUUUUAAAUUUUAAAUUUAAAAUUUUUAUAUUUUAAAUUUUAAAUUAUAAAUUUCAAAAUUUAACCUAAGUAUUAAAUUUUAAAUUUCAAAAUUUAAACCUAGAUUUUAAAUUUCAAAUUUUAAAUUUUAAAAUUCUAAAAUCUAAAUUUAAAAUUUAAAUUUCAAAAUUUUUAAUUUAAAUUUACAUUUUAAAUUUCAUAUUUUAGAUUUAAAUUUUGAAUUUCAAAAUUUCAAAAUUUUGAAUAUUAAAUACCGAAUAUCAAAUUUUGAAAUUAAAAUUGUUACAUGGUUAAAUUCGUGCUGGGGAUAAAAUUGAUAUUUAAAAAAUAUUGGGUGAUUUUUUGACGGAAAGCUAACCCAAAGAGUAUCUGUGGAUAUUUUUGGUUUUAAGAGAGGUAUUGACGAUAUUUUCUAGUUUAGAGGGUUAUUCAUGUAAUUACGGUUUUUCAAAAGGGUAUUGAUGAAAUUAUCCCUUAAUACAGUGGCAUCUUGGCAAACAACUGAUUAUAUGUGACCAUAACCACAAAUUUGCACCGAAACACUACACAGCCUCAUUCGAUACGUAGCACAGAGGAGAGGGAGAGGGAGAGAUCCAUCCAUAGAGAGAGAGAGAGAGAGAGAGAGAGAGAGAGAGAGAGAGGAAUGGAGCGAGAGAGAGUAGUGCUAGGAGAGGUGUACAAGGAAUGCAUGCGGAACCACGCCGCGAAGCUCGGCACCUACGCCGCCGACGGCUGCUGCGAGUACACCGCCGACGAGGCCCGCCCGGGCUCACUGAGCUGCGCGGCAUGCGGCUGCCACCGCAACUUCCACCGCAAAGUGUUCUUGGACGGCCACCGCCGCCACGACCACCAGCAGCAGCCGGCUGCAGCGCAGACACAGGCGGCUGAGGAGCGUCGACGGCGGUGCCCCGAGGGGAGCAAGCCGCGGCGGGCGAGGACGAAGUUCACGGAGGAGCAGAAGGCCCGGAUGGCGAGCUUCGCGGAGAGGAUCGGGUGGAAGGUACCGAGGAGGGCCGACGGCGGCAUUGGCGGCGAGGAGGCGGGCGACGACGUGACGAGGUUCUGCCUCGAGAUCGGCGUCAGCCGGCAGGUGUUUAAGGUUUGGAUGCACAACCACCGCAGCGGCGGCGGCGGCGGCAGAGGCGGCGAUGGCGCGGCCUCAUCGUCGAUGAGUCAAACGGUGGCUUCCGGGGGCGAUGAAGAGGCCAGUUAAGAAAAUGCUAGAGCCAUCUCCAUGUAGAUUGUAGAUGUAGUAGUAGUAGGAGAGCUAAUUUAUUUGUUCUUAUAAUUGUUAAUCUUCAUCCUUUUAUGGUUUUGUUUUUUUUUUUUUUUUGAGAUUUUAUGACGCAUUUUAAUGGAGAGAAAAAUGAGAGAAAGAAAACAAAAAACUAGGAGUAAAAAAUUAUUUUUAUCGGUCUAAUUUAAAUUUGAGAUGAAGAAAAAUAGAGAGAAUGGGAGAGAAAUGCAUUCCAUCGAUCUUAAUUUCAAAACAAUUAAUCAUGAUAUUUUUUUGGUUUUUAAAAAACAUGACAAAAAUGUUUUUUAUUUUUUUUAUUUUUUUUUUACUUAUGCUAUAUAUUAUGUUACAAACUCAGUUGACCUUUCUCACACAUGCAUAGAUUAAAUUGACCUUCUUGUAGAUGCAGUAUAUAUAUAUAUAUAUAUAUAUAUUUUUUUUUUUUUUUUUUUUUUUUUUUCUUUCAGUGGAUUAAUUUUCUUUUUUUCUUUUUCCUAUUUCUAUUCGGAAGGCCCUUUUAGUAUUGAGGUCCAUUUAAUCCUAAUUAAAAUAAAAACAAAAAAAAGUUGGGGCAAAAGUUUAUAACGAUACACUUUCCUAUUUUCAACAGUAUUGCAGAAAAUAUAUUAUAUGAUAUGUGCAAUAUGAUAUUAUAUACUAUACCAAAUAUAAUCUCUACAUUAUCGCACUACAACAAAAACGGUCUAUAGCGACACUUUUAAAUGUCGGUACAAGUAAAAAAAAGUGCUGGCUAAAUUACCGACACUUUUAAAAAGUGUUGCUAUAUGUGGGGUCGCUAUAUAUAUAGUAAAAAUUAAAGAGUGUCGCUAUAAUCUAAAAAGAGUGCUGCUAAUUUAACAAUACUUAUUUAAGCAUCUAGCAACCGCCAAAACUCUAUUUGUUGGCUGCGGUGGCGGAGGAGUACGAGAGGGAAGGGCCCUUUGUCUAGAAUUUUAGUGGAAUGAGUGAGAGGAGAAGGAAAGAUGGUAAUCGAUUUUUCUUUUUUUUUCUAUUUGUAAUCGGGCCAAAUGGGCUGGGUUGGGUGGGUUGAGUAGAGUAACCUUUUAUUUUUUUUGGAUUCGGCUUUAUAUUUAGACAUUAGUAAAUAUUUUUUUAAAAUUUUGGCAUAAAUAGGAUAUUUAGACAAAAUUGUCCUAUUUAGACAAAAUUGUCCCAAACAUGCACUACAACAGAAUUAGGUUAUAGGGACACAUGCUUGGGACACUUUUGAAUAAGUGUCCCAUUUAUGCUAAAACUUAAAAAAAAUCUACUUAUGCCUAAAUAUAAAGCCCAAUCUAACCAAAAAUAAAAGAUUACUCUACUCAACUCACCACACCCAGUCCAUUUGACCCGAUUACAAACAGAAAAGAAAAAAAAAAAAGGAAAAAUCAAUUACCAUCUUUUCUUCUCUCUUCACUCAAUCCACUGAAAUUCUAGACGAAGAGCCUUUCUUGUCAUCCUCCUCCGCCACCGCAGCCAAAGAGAUAGAGUUUCGGCGGUUGCUAAAUGCUUAAAUAAGUGUUGGUAAAUUAACAGCACUCUUUUAGGUUAUAGCGACACUCUUUAACUGUCACUAUAUAUCUAGCGACCUCACAUAUAGGAACACUUUUUAAAAGUGUCGGUAAUUUUAGCUACCAGCACUUUUUUGACAUGUACCUACAUUUAAAAGUGUCGCUAUAGACCGUUUUUGUUGUAGUGAUGUGUCGUUAUAACCUAAUUUUGUUGUAGUGUAUAUCUCAAAAAGAGCCUUCGAGUGUCUUUGAUUAAUGUUAACAACUCUUUUCGAUUUGUUGCAUUUUUUUUUUUAUGAUUCUAUCACAAUUGACCAGAAAGAGAAAUUGUGCCUUGAAUCUAAUCACAUUACCCUAUACAUAUAUAAUUAAUACAGCAUAAUGCAUUAAUAUGUUGGGAUUAUUAAAACUUUUUAUUCGAUUUAGUUUUGGGAUGUUGGGAUUAUUGAAACUUUUUAUUGGAUUUAGUUUUGGGACAUACUAUUCACCCUGGGGCUCACAUUACCUUAUACAUAUAUAAUUAAUACAGCAUAAUGCAUGAAUAUGUUGGGACUAUUGAAACUUUUGAUUGGAUUUAGUUUUGGGACAUACUAUUCACCCUGGGGCUCACAUUACCCUAUACAUAUAUAAUUAAUACAGCAUAAUGUGUUGGCUUAAAUAGGCCAGCAUUCUAUCCUGUAGCGGGAGGCCAUGUAGGCCGAGUUAUGUUCGAAAUGGCGUGAGGUUGGGUUGGGCUGAGUCAUGUUCGAAGUGGCGUGAGGCUGGUUGGGCCGAAUCACAAUCGAGACUCAUGGCGCUGUAUCUAUACGCUUUAAGUGAAUUGAUUACGUUUUUCUAACAGCUCGAGCUUUUGGGAUUAAUGGUUAGCGCUAACGAUCCGACAAGUGGUAUUAGAGCCAGAGGUCAUAGGUUCAAUUCCCACAUGCUGCAAAUGUGUUCAGGUGCUGGAUUAAAUUGGCUAGCAUCCUGCUUUGUGGCGGGAGGUCAUGUGGGCCGAGUCAUGUUCGAAGUGGCGUGAGGCUAGUUGGGCCGAGUCACAAUCGAGACUCAUGGGUGCUGUUUCUGUACGCUUUAAGCGAAUUGGUUGCGUAUUUCUAACAGCUCGAGCUUUAGGGAUUGAUGGCUAGCGCCAGCGAUCUGACAUAAUGCAUGAAUAUGUUGGGAUUAUUGAAACUUUUGAUUGGAUUUAGUUUUGGGACAUACUAUUCACCCUGGGGCUCACAUUAUCCUAUACAUAUAUAAUUAAUACAGCAUAAUGCAUGAAUAUGUGGGGAUUAUUGAAACUUUUGUUUGGAUUUAGUUUUGGAACAUACCAUUCACCCUGGGGCAUCUACAAGAAGAUCAAAAUUAUGAGAAAUGUUCCAAUACACCAGCCAAUUUAAAUCUGAUCAUUCAAAUUUUUGAGGUUAAGAUUGACUUUUCCAAUCGUAACUUACUUAACAGGUUACCAAUCAAUCGUAAAGAUAAUAUUUGAAAAUAUGUAUUAGCUAAUUACCAAAUUUGAUAAUAUCCAACAAAUUUUCAUUUCUUAAUUUAAUUUUGUUACUUACCAAAUUAGAUAAUGACUAAUUUGAUAAGUGAUAAAUCUUCAUAAAUUUGAAUUUAAAAUCUAACUAGAGUUUAAACUUUAUAUUUAUAAUUGUAUAAAUUAAAUUUAAAUUUUAGAAAAAAAAUUUAAUAUUCAAAUGAGUAAACAUUUCAGCUCAAAUUGUCAAUUCAAUAUUAAACUAACAUGAAAGUUCAAAAAUGUUAAUCUCUUUAAAAUUGUAAUUUAAGUUAUAUUGUAUUUAUAAACUUUUAUUAUUUAUUUAAAUAAAAGAUUUCUACAAUUUAAAAGUAAGUUGAAAUUAUUUAUUCAAUAUUGAAAAACAGCGUUAAAUUUCAUAAAUAUUGAUCAAAUUUAAAUUAUAAAUUUAGAUUUAAUAUAUAUUAUAGUUAAAAAAUAAAUUUUGUUAACUAUUUAAACAUAAAGUUUCAAUGUUUGAAAAUUAAUUUUAAAUUAUAAAUUACUAAAUUUAUGACUUAAUGUCAUCACAAAUUAUUAUUCAAAUUGGCCUUCAAAAUGGGUAAUUCAAUUAAAACCUCAUUCUCUCAACUAUUCAAGGGUAGUAUGAAAAACUUUUCAAUAUUAGUUAUUUAACUUUUUAAUAUUAGCUCUUUCUUUUUCAAAAAAAUCUCUAAAUUUAUAUACCUGGUGAUCGGCACGGCUAGUGCAAUAGCAUGUCAUCUUUUUUUAUGCAUAAAUUUUUAUCCUUUAUUGAUUAAAAAUAAGCAGCUAAAAUUAGAACGAAAUAUCGAAACAUUGCUCCAAAAUUAUUACCAUGCCAAAAACGCCACCUCUAUAUGGAUUAUGAUCUAUUAGAAGGAAACAAACAAAAUCCUUUAGCUAUUUAAGCAAUAAUAAUGUCGCUUUUUAAUUUUUGCCUGCAUUUCAUGCAUGUGGACACGGGGGCAGAGGUCCAUGCAGUGACUUCUUGUCUGUCUACACGUUAUUUCCAACUCACGAGUACUGUGCAGGAAUUUGUCGUCGGAGUUCCUACUAUUAUCUUUAGAAGCAACUAGCGAUGUACCCGUGCUUUGCUACGGGUACAAUAUAAUUAUAUUUAUAAAAUAUAGUAUUCUAUUAAAUAUAUAGAAUCCGGUUGGGAUACUAUCGAUAGCAGCAAAGCAUUUGGUGCUAUCAAGUUUUCCAUCGUUAGAUUUAACCUUUUAACUAUUUUUACUCGUUAGAUUAUACUAUUAAAUUAAUAACUUAACUCUAGAGGGUCUACAUCAUCAUAACCGUAAAUUUUUUCGUCCAAAUGUCGAAAAUCUAAUAGCAUCAAUAAUUUGGUGCUAUUGAUAAUAUUUCAGCAUAAUUCUAAAUAUAUAUAUUAAACACAUAUUUGUAUCAAUAACUAAUUUCACAAUAUUUUAGGUAUUUGAUAGUUUCUAUUUAAAUUCUUGGAGUUCCGUAAACUUUCAAUAAUUUCUGAAGACAAAAGAAAAAAUUUGUAAUACGCUUAUUUUUGUGAGAUCCCCGGUGUACUGUUGUGGAGACUUGUCGGCAGCUCUGGAGAGUGUCGGGACAAGUCCGAGUCGCGUUGGCGUCAAAUAGACACAAAACGGACUCCGUGCGACGCGAGGGCAGUUUAUAGCGAAGAAAUCUACAAAACAGCAGAUUUCUCUGCUUGCUGUAUUGGUACAACCAGCGUGCCUGUACCGGUACAACCAGCGAGGCUGCGCGCAGCACUACAACAGAAUUAGGUUAUAGGGACACAUGUUUGGGACACUUUUGAGUAAGUGUCACAUUUAUCCUAAAACUUAAAAAAAUAUCUACUAAUGCCUAAAUAUAAAGCCCAAUCCAACCAAAAAUAAAAGAUUACUCUACUCAACCCACCAUACCCAGUCCAUUUGGCCCGAUUACAAACAGAAAAGAAAAAAAAAAGAAAAAUCAAUUAUCAUCUUUUUUUCUCUCUUCACUCAAUCCACUGAAAUUCUAGACGAAGAGCCUUUCCUGUCGUCCUCCUCCGCCACAGCACCCAACGAAAUAGAGUUUCGGCGGUUGCUAAAUGCUUAAAUAAGUGUUGGUAAAUUAGCAACAUUCUUUUAGGUUAUAGCGACACUCUUUAACUGUCACUNAAAUAGAGUUUCGGCGGUUGCUAAAUGCUUAAAUAAGUGUUGGUAAAUUAGCAACAUUCUUUUAGGUUAUAGCGACACUCUUUAACUGUCACUAUAUACCUAGUGACGCCACAUAUAGCAACACUUUUUAAAAGUGUCGGUAAUUUUAGCUAGCAGCACUUUUUUGACAUAUACAUACAUUUAAAAGUGUCGCUAUAGACCGUUUUUAUUGUAGUGCAGGUUGCCCUCGGGUUGGCUCUUGUACCGAUACAGGAGCCCGUGUACCGGUAUAAGGGGGUAGGUGAGAAGGUAUUUGAGUAAAUCUCCACCUCGUUUGUAUCAGCAGCUCUCCCUCUCUCUAUAUAGCUUUGUGUAGAGAGAGAGGAGUCCUUUUGCUUCAUCUUCAUCUCUCUCUCACUCUCAUCCGGUUGAAGGCAAAGAAGAAGCUCGGUUGGAAGGUUUGUCGCCGACGUCGCGCCGCGGGACCGUUCGAGCACACUUUUGACAUUGGGGUAGCGCGAGGAGGCCGGGCGAGCGUGGGUUUUCACCGUUCUUACUGUCGCAUCGGUGCUUGGCAUUGUCGAGGUGGGUAAUUCAACAUUUCCAUUUGUUUUUGGGCAAGUUCUUACUAUUUCGAACUCAAGUGAUGCUAUUUUGCUGAAUUUAUCGUCGACUGUUAGUAUUUUAUCUCGUACUUGAUGCAGGAGCAUCGGAUUUUGACGAGAGUUGGUUCGCUGGAUUCGGGACUUCGAGAGGAAUCCACGAAGCCCUUACCUGCAGGAUUUGGUGAAGGUUAUCUUGGUUGAAACUCUGUUUUACUCUGCUGUUGUGGAUUUUGGACUGAAUUGAGAAUUUUCGAUGUUUAUAGUUGGAGAUAGCUCGAUUCCGGGACUCGGAUAUUUUCAGUCGAUCCAGCAGAUUGUUCCGCAGCCGAGGGAGUUCCGUGCUGCCAGGGAUUAGCGACCGAGGUGGGUUAAUCAUCGGCUUACUCCUAAGUGCCUAUAUAGUCAACAUGUAUUAGCGGAAUUCUUUUGCGUGUCGCAAUUGCUCGGUUCAUUGAUUUAGUUUUGUAAUAAUCUGAAUUGGAGCUUAGUCUAUUUAUCUACGCAUAUACAUACAUAUUGGACUUGGAUAAGACUUAGGAGAAAACUUGCGAUUUUAAUCGUCAUAUGUUAAACUACCUGAUUUAGCCCUAGGGGCCGUUGUAUGAUUUUGUACUGUUGCAGUAUCAUCAUAGUGAGUAUUCCAGGUAGAUUAGAAUGUAUUUACGCUCGUGCUGGGAUGCCGAGUGAAUUUUUUUAUAGUAGCUUUCAGGCUGUUCCGGACUGUUGGGGGGCCGUCGGGGUUGACGGUGGACCCGUAUCGCCUUUUUGGUGACAGAUUGUGCCGAAGGCACGUGAUCUAUUAGUUGUUAGACCAGUUAGAGUUGGUUGCUUGAUCUUAGCCUGUGAGAGCAGUACGACCUUGACAGAGACACUUGUAAACUCGGUUGGGUUGCGCCCACGAAUGCCAUUCCGGAAUGAGGUUUCAGUGCGAUGAGUGUCGCAGUUUCUGUUGGACAGUUCUUGAGCCGGCUACCCUCGGGGUGGUGUAUGGCGCAGCUAGAUACAGGCAGGGUGGGUCCGUUUUGGGCAGCCCGGGUGAGAUAGUGAGUGACGCUUUUCCCUACCUUUAGUGAGGUUGUGACGUGAGUGGAGUCUUAGCCGUCCUGUUGGACCUUUUCUGAAACCGACUACUCUUGAGAUACGGUGUAGUCUAAUUAGGCGAGACGGGUGUAUUCACAGUCUUUGGAGAGUUUUCUCCGCCGGUUACUCUUGAGAUACGGUAUAGUCUAGUAGACGAGACGGGUGUAUUCACAGUCUCUAGAGAGUCUUCCCCGCCGGUUACUCUUGAGCUACGGUGUCACCUAAUUAGACGGGAUGGGUGUAUUCACAGUUCCUAGAGAGUUUUCUCCACAAGCUACUCCUGGAGUAGGUUACGGGUUCGAUCCGACAGGCGGGACGGGUGUGUUCACAGUCCCUAGUGAGAUUGAGUCAGUUGUGACUUUUACUACAGUUGGUUAGUGUAGAUCAUGCUAGUGUAGCGAUAUGUAGCUGUAGAUUUUUUUCCAGCUUUUCCUGCUAGCCUUGUUACUUUCUAUAGACUUAGUGGGUGGACCGAUGAUUGUUGAGGGCUGCACCCACUGAGGACUACUUGUUUCUACAGUAGUUCUCACGCCCAUUUGUUACCCCGUUUUUACAAAGCCAUCGUCUUCGGCCGCUGCUGUUGCUGAUCAGGAUAUAGGCAAGGGCGUCACGAAUUAGAGCCCUACCCGAGGAGCAGAGCUAGAGGCACCCCUACUGCAGGUAGAUGUUUUGGUUUGGGUUCAUGUACAUACAGACUUUUAACUCGCCAGCGCGAGUAGUUUUGUACUCUGGGAUUCAGUGUAUGUAUAUGAAACUCGGUUUCUUUUAAUUUACUAGUUCUUCUAGCAGCUCUAUACUACUGUUUGUAGUAUUGUAUAUUUUAUAGGUACAGCUGUCGUUUCGUAUACAGGGAAAAUUCCUUUGUAUACGCUGGAUUUGUCGGCGUGCCCGGGAACGUGUAAUCCGGGACGUGACAGAUUAAGUUGGUAUCAGAGCUUAGCAUUAGGUCGUUGGGACCUAGAGGACCUAAGUUUGGCAAAUCUUAGAAAAGCAAGACGCAAGAGGCGUAAUUUAAUUGCGAAAGUCACUGAUUAGUUGUUCUAACUCCUUCAUGAGUGGGGUGAGUGAUUAAUGGAGUACCUGUUUUGGCCUGAGAAACUAUGUUGGCUGCAGACGACAUAAUUUUGGAGGAAAACAGGGGCUGCCUUCUAGACUUUCGUUGAUUGGGUCGAGAGUGUUUGUGUGUUAUCUGACCCCGUUUUGUUUCUUUCAGAUCGUUGUCGAGGUCGACCGUCGACCAGGGAUCGAGUCGCACCGCUAAAGAUGCCUGACCAGGCAGAGCUGAGUGCACGACCGGAGGCAAGUACACCCCCUGAUUUGAGAGAGCUGUUGGCUGCCCUGACAGAGGUGAUCAAGCAGCAGAGUGUACUAUCGCAGAGGAUUUAUGAGAUUAUCACUCAGUGGUCAGGCGUUGAGACAGGAGCAUUUGUGCAGCAGGCACUCUUGGUGGGAUACGGAGUUACACCCGUCCAGGAGCGGACUGUGGCACUGGGGCAGAGCCAAGACAGGAAGUGUCAUUUUCCAGAUGAUGGAGGACAAGCGAGUAGCAGACGUCCGCUGAGGCUUUCUCGAUCUUGCUCUCAGGGUCGUAGUUCAUCGGGGCGUCAGCAUUCCAGGGGAUUGCUUCAGCAGGGACCGUCACCGAGGACGCUGCGGUGCGUGAUUUGUGGAGGACCACACUGGCCCCGACAAUGUGAGCAAAAAGAGGGCCACUGCUAUACUUGUGGACAGCCAGGAUAUGUGAGGUCACCGUGUCCUAGAGCUACAUUUCCAGCACUAUCCAUUACAUCAGCGUAGCCAGCUGACCAGUAGACUUUUGGAGCACCACCGAGUUACCGCCGGGAGGACUCUUCAGCAGCCGAUCGUGUAGUAGCAGGUAUCACUUUGAUUUUCGGCAUUUGUACUCGUACUUUAGUUGGUACCGGUGCCUCGCAUUCUUUUGUUAGCCGAGCAUUUGCAUUGUUGCAUGGUCUAGAGUUAGGGUCAUUGUCUUUGGCACGAGAGAUGCAUAUCCCCGACCAUGUUUUACAGGUUGCAGAGUGUUGUUGGUCGUGUCCGGUGCAGUUAGAUUCGUGGUUUAUGCCCGCAGAUCUGUUGGUGUUAGAGCAGCUGCAGGACUUCGACAUCGUGCUCGGUAUGGAUUGGCUGGCGUGGUACUAUGCUACGAUAGACUGUGGAGCGAGGACGGUGACGUUCUGCGAGCCAGGCCAGGAGGAGUUUACGUUCGGAGGCUGCAGGAGUACGUUGUUUGCCACAUGGAUAUCUUCGGCGAGGGCUCGACAGAUGCUGAGUAGUGGGUGUAUCGCUUUUCUAGCGACAGUUGUAGAGGUACCUACGGCGGCGCCGGGACUCGAGGAUAUCCCUAUAGGCUGCGAGUUUCCGAAUGUAUUUCCCCCUGAGUUGACUACGUUGCCGCCGAAGAGGGAGAUUGAGUUUAUGAUUGAUGUAGUUCCUAAAACUGCACCAAUCUCGAAGGUACCUUAUAGGAUGACGCCAGUAGAGCUAAGAGAGCUAAAGGCGCAGCUGCAGGAUUUGAUGAUAGAGGGUUUGUGAGACCCAGUAUUUUCGCCUUGGGGGGCGCUGGUGUUGUUUGUGAAGUAGAAGGAUGGUUCACUUAGGCUGUGUGUGAAUUACCGGGAGCUGAAUAAAGUGACCAUCAAGAAUAUGUAUCCCUUACCACAUAUUGAUGAUUUGUUUGAUCAGUUGCAGAAAUCUUAUGUCUUUUCGAAAAUUGAUCUCCAGUCAGGUUACCACCAGUUGAGGGUGAGGGCAGAGGAUGUUCCCAAGAUGGCUUUUUGGACUCGGUACGGGCAUUAUGAGUUUACAGUGAUGCCUUUUGGAUUGACAAAUGCCCUUGCUGCAUUCAUGGAUUUGAUAAACAGAGUGUUCAAGCCGUUCUUGGAUAAGUUUGUGGUAGUCUUCAUCGACGAUAUCCUGAUUUACUCCCAGAGCGAUGCUGAGCAUGAGGAGCAUUUGAGAAUUGUGCUACAGCUUCUGCGAGAGAAGAAGUUGUAUGCCAAGUUGAAGAAGUACGAGUUCUGGUUGUGGGAGGUGCUUUCUUGGGCCACGUGAUUUCAGCUGAGGGCGUAGCAGUGGACCCGAAGAAGAUUGAGGCGAUUCGAGAUUAGCCUAGACCGACGACGAUGACUGAGGUACGGAGUUUCCUAGGACUGGCAGGAUAUUACCGUCGGUUUGUGGAAGGCUUUGCGAAGCUUUCCACGCCCCUCACACGCUUGACGCGGAAGGGAAUUCGAUUUGUCUAGAGUGACGACUGUCAGAGGUGCUUUGACGAGUUGAGACUGAGGUUGACAUCGGCUCCUAUCCUUACCCUUCCGGUGAUGGGGGAAGGAUUCGUGAUCUUCAGUGAUGCAUCGCACAGUGGACUUGGCUGUGUGCUGAUGCAGUAUGGUAGGGUAAUUGCUUAUGCUUCACGGCAGUUAAAGGAUUAUGAGAAGAAUUACUCUACGCAUAAAUUGGAGCUUGCCGCGGUGGUAUUUGCUUUGAAGUUCUGGCGGUAUUACUUGUACGGCGAGCACUGCGAGGUCUUUACUAAUCAUAAAAGUCUCAAGUGUCUGUUCACACAGCGGGAGCUGAACCUGAGGCAGCGCCGGUGGUCGGAGUUACUGAAGGACUAUGAUAUUAGUAUUCAGUAUCAUCCCGGCAAGGCGAAUGUUGUGGCAGAUGCGUUGAGCAUGAAGUCAGUGCAGAGCCUGAGUUUGACGAUCACUGAACAGAGACCCCUACUCGAGGAGCUACAGCGGCUGGGACUCGAGAUAGUACCUCCUGGUUCUACGGCGAGGCUGACGUCUCUAGUUUUGCAGCCCACUCUGUUGGAUAGGAUCCGAGAGAAACAUAGUGGAGAUCCGUACUUGUUGAGGAUUAGAGAGUAGCUAGACAGAGGGCAGGCUGAGGGUUUUGCUGUGAACAGUUCGGAAGUACUGCGGUACAGGGACCGACUGUGCGUGCUUGUGGAUUCAAAGAUUCGAGCAGACAUUCUGAGAGAGGCUCCUUGUUCUCCUUAUACGGUUCACCCUGGGGGAACCAAGAUGUAUAAGGAUUUAAAGGCACAGUUCUGGUGGCAUGGAAUGAAGAGGGACAUUGGCAGAUAUGUGGCUCAGUGUUUGACUUGCCAACAGGUGAAGGCCGAGCAGCAGAUACCUGCUGGCAAGCUUCAGAGUCUGCGAGUGCCAGAGUGGAAGUGGGAGUACAUCACGAUGGAUUUUAUCGUGGGAUUGCCUAGAGCACAGAGUGGUUGUGAUGCCAUUUGGGUGAUAAUGGACAGACUGACCAAGUCUGCUCACUUCCUACCAGUUCAGACUAUCUGGUCCAAAGAGAGACUCGCGCAGCUAUACCUGGAUGAGAUCGUCAGGCUCCACGGCGUGCCAGUGUCGAUUGUGUCAGACAGAGACCCGAGGUUUGUAUCCCAGUUUUGGAGGAGCCUUCAGACAGCCUUGGGCACUCAACUGCAUUUCAGCACGGCGUUCCACCCACAAAUUGAUGGUCAAUCAGAGAAGACCAUACAGACUCUAGAGGACAUGCUGAGGGCAUGCGUCUUGGAUUUUGGAGGAGGGUGGUAUCGACAUGUGAGACUAGUUUAGUUUGCGUAUGACAACAGCUAUCAAACGAGCAUUCAGAUGGCUCCGUUUGAGGCGUUGUAUGGACGUAGAUGUCGAUCCUCUCUGUUUUGGAGUGAUGUGGGUGAGAGGAGGACACUUGGACCGGAGAUUCUACUUGAGGCUGAGGAAAAGGUGAGAGUCGUUGACGACACCUUUUGACAGCACAGAGCCGCCAGAGGAGCUACGUCGAUACCAGGAGACGAGACUUGAAGUUUCAGGUUGGAGAUCAUGUUUUCCUCAAAGUCUCGCCGUCCAGAGGGAUACGCUGAUUUGGGGUACGUGGAAAGCUCAGUCCACGGUUUGUUGGUCAUUUCGAGGUAUUGGAGCGAGUUGGACCGGUUGCAUACAGGAUAACUCUACCCCCGCGAUUUGCUGGCAUACACGAUGUUUUCCACGUCUCAGUAUUGAGGAGAUACGUUUUCGAUCCCUCUCACGUAAUCGACUUCACUCCACUAGAGAUUAGCGAGGAUCUGAGAUACGAGGAGCAACCGUUGCGGAUUCUUGCUCGGGAGACGAAAGAAUUGCGCAAUCAGGUCAUUCUGUAUGUGAAAGUGCAGUGAAGCGAUCACGAGGAACGGGAGGCGACUUGGGAGCCUGAGACGGGGAUGAAGGAGGCAUAUCCCUAGUUGUUUGAUGCCUGAGCUGAGGUGUACUUAAGUUUCGCGGACGAAACUUUUUGUAGAGUGGAAGGAUGUGAGAUUCCCGGUGUACUGUUGUGGAGGCUUGUCGGCAGCUCUGGAGAGUGUCGGGACAAGUCCGAGUCGCGUUGGCGUCAAAUAGACGCAAAAUGGACUCCGUACGACGCGAGGGCAGCUUAUAGCGAAGAAAUCUGUAAAACAGCAGAUUUCUCUGCUUGCUGUACUGGUACAACUAGCGUGGCUGUACCGGUACAACCAGCGAGGCUGCGCGCAGGUUGCCCUCGGGUUGGAUCUUGUACCGGUACAGGAGCCCGUGUGCCGGUACAAGGGGGUAGGUGAGAGGGUAUUUGAGUAAAUUUCCACCUCGUUUGUAUCAGCAGCUCUCCCUCUCUCUAUAUAGCUUUGUGUAGAGAGAGAGAGGAGUCCUUUUGCUUCAUCUUCAUCUCUCUCUCACUCUCAUCCGGUUGAAGGCAAGGAAGAAGCUCGGUUGGAAGGUUUGUCGCCGACGUCGCGCUGCAGGACCGUUUGAGCACACUUUUGACGCCGGGGUAGCGCAAGGAGGCCGGGCGAGCGUGGGUUUUCGCCGUUCUUGCUGUCGCAUUGGUGCUUGGCGUUGUCGAGGUGGGUAAUUCAGCAUUUCCAUUUGUUUUUGGGCAAGUUCUUACUACUUCGAACUCAAGUGAUGCUGUUUUGCUGAAAUUCAUCGUCGACUGUUAGUAUUUCAGCUCGUACUCGACGCAGGAGCAUCGGAUUUUGACGAGACUUGGUUCGCUGGAUUCAGGACUUCGAGAGGAAUCCACUAAGUCCUUACUUGCGGGAUUUGGUGAAGUUUAUCUUGGUCGAAGCUCUGUUUUACUCUACUGUUGUGGAUUUUGGACUGAAUUGAGGAUUUUUGAUGUUUAUAGUUGGAGAUAGCUCGAUUUCGGGACUCGGACAUUUUCAGUCGAUCCAGCAGGUUGUUCAGCAGCCGAGGGAGUUCCGUGCUGCCAGGGAUUAGCGACCGAGGUGGGUUAAUCAUCGGCUUACUCGUAAGUGCAUAUAUAGUCAACAUGUAUUAGCGGAAUUCUUUUGCGUGUCGCAAUUGCUCGGUUCGUUGAUUUAGUUUUGUAAUAAUUUGAAUUGGAGCUUAGUCUAUUUAUCUAUGGAUAUACAUACAUGUUGGACUUGGAUAAGACUUAGGAGAAAACUUACAAUUUUAAUUGUCAUAUGUUAAACUACCUGAUUUAGCCCUAGGGGCUGUUGUAUGAUUUUAUACUGUUGCAGUAUCAUCAUAGUGAGUAUCCCAGGUAGAUUAGAAUGUAUUUACGUUCGUGCUGGGAUGCCGAGUAAAUUUUUUUAUAGUAGCUUUCAGGCUGUUCCGGACUGUUGGGGGCCAUCGGGAUUGACGGUGGACCCGUAUAGCCUUUUUGGCGACGGAUUGUGCCGAGGGCACGUGAUCUAUUAGUUGUUAGACCAGUUAGAGUUGGUUACUUGACCUUAGCCUAUGAGAGCAGUACGAACUUGACAGAGACACUUGCAAACUCGGUUGGGUCGCGCCCACGAAUGCCAUUUCGGAAUGAUGUUUCAGUGCGAUGAGUGUCGCAGUUUCUGUUGGACAGUUCUUGAGCCGGCUACCCUCGGGGUGGUGUACGGCGCAGCUAGAUACAGGUAGGGUGGGUCCGUUUUGGGCAGCCCGGGUGAGAUAGUGAGUGAUGCUUUUCCCUACCUUUAGUGAGGUUGUGACGUGAGUGGAGUCUUAGCCGUCCUGUUGGACCUUUUCUGGAACCGACUACUUUGAGAUACGGUGUAGUCUAAUUAGGCGAGACGGGUGUAUUCACAGUCUUUAGAGAGUUUUCUCCGCCGGUUACUCUUGAGAUACGGUGUAGUCUAGUAGACGAGACGGAUGUAUUCACAGUCUCUAGAGAGUCUUCUCCGCCGAUUACUCUUGAGCUACGGUGUCAACUAACUAGACGGGAUGGGUGUAUUCACAGUCCCUAGAGAGUUUUCUCCACCAGCUACUCCUGGAGUAGGUUACGGGUUCGAUCCGACAGGCGGGACGGGUGUGUUCACAGUCCCUAGUGAGAUUGAGUCAGUUGUGACUUUUACUACAGUUUGUUAGUGUAGAUCAUGCUAGUGUAGCAAUAUGUAGCUAUAGAUUUCUUUCCAGCUUUUCCUGCUAGCCUUGUUACCUUCUGUAGACUUAGUGGUGGACCGAUGAUUGUUGAGGGCGGCACCCACUAAGGACUACUUGUUUCUACAGUAGUUCUCACGCCCAGUUGUUAUCCCGUUUUUGCAGAGCCUUCGUCUUCGGUCACUGCUGUUGCUGAUCAGGAUCUAGGCAAGGGCGUCGCGAAUUAGAGCCCUACCCGAGGAGCAGAGAUAGAGGCACCCCUACUGCAGGUAGAUGUUUUGGUUUGGGUUCAUGUACAUAUAGACUUUUAACUCGCCAGCGCGAGUAUUUUUGUACUCUGGGAUUCAGUGUAUGUAUAUGGAACAAGGUUUCCUUUAAUUUACUAGUUCUUCUAGCAGCUCUAUUCUACUGUUUGUAGUAUUGUAUGUUUUACAGGUACAGCUGUCGCUUCGUAUACAAGAGAAAUUCUUUUGUAUACGGCGGAUUUGUCGGCGUGCCCGAGGAACGUGUAAUCCGGGGCGUGAUAAUUUUUAGGCCAGUUUGUCCAAAAAAUAACUAUCCUUUUUUUUGUAUUCUUUUUGAAUUUUUAUUCUUCUAACUCCAUUCGGAUUAUUUUUUUGUCGAAGCAUGCAAGCAAUAUUGAGAAUUGAAAAUAUUACGAUAAAAUAAAAAGUAGUUACUUGAUUUGUAGAUUUUUAAUUGACUGACUUUAUAAUUUUUUUUUGAAUUUAUGAACAUAUAUUUCAAUUUUAUAAGAAAUUUUUAUAUUUAGCACAAUUAUGCACUGACUUGAAAAAAUUAGAUAUAAUUUGUUCUAAAAUUUGGACUAAUAAUAAAUAAAUAACAAAAAAAUAGAGAAGUACUCUAAUUGGUUUAAUAGUUGGGCAAUGAAGCAAAACAAUUUAGAAAAAUAGCUCAAAAUUUUCUAUAGUUUAGGAUUUAGAAUUUUAAAAUUUGAAGUUGAAAAUUUGAAAGUAAAUUAAAAUAUGUUGAGGGUAGGAUCUAACUAGGGGGUGGACAUAUGAUUCAAAGGGGUAAGAGUCUAUUAACGGUAGAAAACUCAAUAGUACCAACGGGCUUGCAUACAUAUCAUUAUACAUUAUAGUAGCUGGAUAACGUAUAUAUAUAGUAUUUAUAGUAUAUAUUAUAUAUAUGUAUAUAUAGUAUUAUAUAUAUAUAUAUUUGUAUAUAUAUAUAUAUAAAAAUUGCAGCUAGUAAUACUUUUUUAGAGCACCAACCCUUGGUGCUUUUAAGUUUCUAGCCUUUGCGAUCUACUCCUUGAUACUAAUAGCCUUAUUGAUCAAUACACUAUUCACACUACCCACCUACCGACCUUAUCAUUUCUCACUCACAUUUCUCCAUCAAAUGUGUUAAAAACUCAAAAGCACCACCUUUGCAUGGUGCUUAUUGGAUGAGUAUUCUAGCUCAACUCUCUCUCUCUCUCUGUCUCUCUCUCAUCUCUCGUCUCUCUCGUUCGAUAUAUAGUACGUAGUAUAGUAUAUAUAUAGGUAUAGUAUAUAUAUAUAUAUAUUGUCAUGCCCCGGAUUCCUCGUUUCUCCGGACACGCUAACAGACCCGUCAUAUAUAUAGGAAUUUUGCCUGUAUACGAAGCGUAGCUGUACUUGUAAUUGUAAUCAUACAACACUACAACCAGUAAUGUAGAGCUACUAGAAGGAUAUAAAACAUAUAUAAUAAUAGUGGUUCAUUACAUAUAUAGCAUCCUGGUACAAAAAUAUACGCUACAGCGAGGUACAACAAAGUAUGUAAAGAACAAAAAACUACAACUACCUAUAGCUGGAACUCCUCUAGCUUUGCGACUCGUCUGGAAGGGCUCUAACUCGCAACACCCUUUGCACGAUCAGUAUCAAUAGUAGCAGUAGCCGCAACCGAAGGCUCUGCACAAAUCCACAACUGGGUGUGAGAACUACUGCAAAAAGAAGUAGUCCUCAGUGGGUACCGGUACCGACCUCAACGGCUCACCCACUAAGUCUACAGAAGGUAUAUUCAAUGAUAGUAAAGGAACUGGAAACAAUCUACAGCUACAUGCCAC
rnacentral:lncRNA from 1 species